GCCGUCGAAUCAAACCGACAUUGAUCGUGUGGUUUUCCUUGAAGUAUUAGGUCGGUGGAGCAUGAUCCCCGAACUUCACCCUGAUUGGUCCAGGGGGAGGGCGGGCGCCCUCAGGACUAGGGCGGGCGCCCUGUCCCUGAGGCCUCUCGGCUUCCGCUUCGGUCCCGUGGCUUCUGGAGUCUUCUAGAUGAUAGAAAAUUGCGCGGCACGUUAAUAUCUCUAUGUAAACCCGACGUGUGGGCCUUUCUUCCAUAUUUCCUGAUAACCCCCUGCAGAAAUAGACAAACACCAAAACUCGUGGAAUUCUGUCAGAUAAAACCCUAAGGCUAGGUGUUGAUUGUAUUUGGAUCCUUUUCUAUGAUUAGUUGAUAGUUAAAUGUGAGCAUUAAUGACCGUCAACAAGCUUCCCCAAGCUUAACCUUUGCUCGUCCCUGAGCAAAGAUGAACUCAAGAGUUUCUGCAGUGGUUUCAUAACUUAAAGAUACACAUGCGUUUAAACAAGAUCUCAUCUCUGGUUAGAGUAAACUGUUAAGACUUAAAACUUACUCAUUUACCUUUUACCAUGGGACUUGUAACCGUCACUUCUGUCUUGAGUAGUUAAAAGAUAGAACAGUCUAGUCAAGCGCCAUGUCUCUUGUUCUUCGAUUAACUAUAGCUCUAGAGUUUUUGCAGAUUUUCAAAUAAAACUUAGAGAUUCCUUGUAUGACUCUCUCUAGUCUCUCAUUUGUGGUAUUUUUGGAUCCUUACCAAAGCAGUAAUGGUGUAUGCCUUCUCUCAAAGUAUGUGGUAUUUUUGGUAUGAGGCAUAGUGACAUUGCCUUCUCUCUCACCCUACUCUAAUAAGGCUUUUAAUAUCUGGAGCUCAUAGGUGGGAGACAGCUAAUACAUACUUACAAGACAUUUAUUGUAUAGUCAAACCAUGGAUCCAGAAGAACAAGUCAAUAAGUCAAAUCAAGAUGUGCAUGUGUGGCGAAUGAAUGGUGUAUGGUGAUGAUGGUGAUAACAAUGGUGAAAGUCUAAUUCUACUUAUGCUCUUUUGAGGGGAUACAUACCUUUCUUGCACUUUUGAAACUUUUUCAGGAGAAUGAGAUGCUCUAUGUUUUCUUUUUCUUUUCUGUCAGGUGGGUAUCUUGUACCCCUAAUUCUACUAUCGGACACUUGUCCAUUUUUACCUCUCGUCUCACUUUUUCUUUUCUUCGAGGUUCCGGGCACUUGCCCCUUUUUAUUUCCUCGUAUAUAUUUUUUUCUCUUUUUUUUAGAGCACUCAUCUCAUGAGAUAAUAUAGCAAGUGGUAGUAACAAGAUAACUUGAGCAUUUAUUUCAUAGGGGAAAAACAGGAAUAUUUUUAGCUAUUCUCUCCCGGAUUAGGAGUAGAAUAUUUUUGUGUGGUUCUGGAGAUGGAAAUGGAUAUAUAUGGAUGGUACUUCCGGAGUAGAAGUAGCAUGUAUGAGUGAACGUGCAAGUGAAUCUUGAUUUAACCACAUGACAAGCUCCUAAGGGUCUACAAAGCUUGACCACACUCAAUGCUCAUAAGCAGUAAAAAGUAAAUGUGUGGCUCAAAGUCUAGCAAGCAUGUAUAUAUGGAUGUGGUAGGAAUUUAAACUCUUAUCAUACAGGAACUCAUCAUGCAACAAUUUAAAGAUUUUCAAAGAUAAAAUUCUCCAGAAUUCUAGCAUCUCUAGGAACAGAUAAACAGCAGCUCAACCUUCCCAUAUCGUAUCCGUUAACGACUUAGACUUUAGAUCAAGUACUCUCCUCACAAGUUCAGGUUUAGAUCAAAUCUUAAUUAAUAACAGUCAUGCCUAAACUUGAGAGAGAUUUCAAUUUUUAGAACUAGUCAUGGCAGAGCAACUAUACAUCAUUUCCAUGUGAGAGCUUAUCAUGAGGAUUCAUAGCAAACUUUAUUUAUUUAUUUAUUUAGCAAACUAACCAAAUAUAUAUAUAAGCACAAAAUCUUUAUUUGGGUUUAUAUGAUUAUGCAUCUUUUUACUAUUUAGAGUAAAGUAUAAACGUGAGUAGAAACACUUAGCUGGAUAAAUGGGGGUGCUCUCCCCCAAGCUGGAUUUUGACGUAAUUCCUUCUGAUGUAGCUGGUGGCAGAGGUGUAGUUGAAUGUCGGCAGCACCCUGACAGUGAUUAGGAUGUCCUCCAUCUGCUAGUCUUCUUUGAUCCUUGAAUUCUGUGGAGCUCAAAUAGACAACAAAGCUUUGUGGAACUGGUUAAGUGUUAACAUAAAUAUCUAGCCUUUAUCAUGUUGAGCCUCCUCAAUAAAUGUUAUUCUCUUUAGUAGGAUCACAAUCUUAUUUAUAUUUUCAUUUUUAUAGGACAGGAAUAUAUAUUUAUUUUAUUUUUAUGCCACCACAGUGAAUGUACUUAUGGGUUUUAUGCCAUGAGCAUACUCACAUGGGGCUUACUUAACAUUUUUAUUUUCUUUUCAAGAUGAUAUGAACCUGAUUAACUAACCAAACUAUUUUAAAUAAUUAAAAGGAAAAAGAUAACUACCAAGUUUACCUUUUGGCAAGGCGUUCGGUGUUUUUACGUCCUCCGAACGGGACUCUCCGUUUUCUUAGUCGUCCUGGGAUUCGCUGGAUGGCGUAGUCGGUGGUUCCGGCGGUGCCUGCUCUUCGUGUAUAACUAUCUUCUCUCUCCACACCUGCCUCGGUGCUACGGUCUCCUCAGGACAGUUCUAUUCAAGUUGUAUAUCUUCAGACCUUACAACUUCUCCUUCAUAGUCUACCCAUCCGUCCUUGAUGAUUUGCCUCCUCUGGUUGCGGUUGCGUCGUCUUCUUCUUGUCCUGACCUGCUUAGAGUCUUGAACUAUAUAGUUAGAGUCAGUAAAAUAGCAGCGUACCUUCUCAGAGGAGAAAUGCAUGUGGACUUCUCUGGUUCCAAUGUAGAUGAUUGCUUUAACGGUGUUGAGGAACAGUCUCCCAAGGAUGACGGGUGGAUUGUACUCAUCUUCUCCCAUGACAUUAACCUUAAAAUCAUCUGGAGCUGAAUGUAUGUUAGUUGUAGGGGCAUGGUUCCAUGCAGGAGUUGAUAAGUGACUGCUGCCAUUAUGUUGAUGUUAGAUCCGGUGUCGUAGAGUGUCUUCUGAAAAGAAUAUCCGUUGAUUGUGCACUCGAUGCUUGGAACACCAGGGUCGUCCUUCUUGAUCAAGAAAGGUGACUUGAGUUGACGAUCUUGACCUCCUUGAGCUGCAGUGACCAUCUUAGCUGACUCGGUACACAUUUGCUUGUUCCUAUUCCUCCUGUUGGUCCUCUUCCUUGGUUCAUGUCGGGAUUGCUCUGAGAUUUGUAUAGUCUUGUUCUUGAAGGAAAACAUCUCCUUCCUUCCCUUGAUGUAGAAACUGAUCUUGGCAGCACUAGCGUAGAUGAUAGCUCCCGAGGUGUUCAGGAAUGGCCUCCCUAGAAUGAUGGGUGCCCUCUCAUCACUACCAGUCUCUAUCACCACGAAGUUUGCUGGAGCGUAUAAGGUACCAACUCGGAUGUAGAGGUUCUUCAAUAUUCUCUUUGGGAAACUAAGCGUACGAUCUGCAAGCUGCAAACACAUGGCUGUUGCUAAUAAAGGAUGUGUAAAGAAUUUUUCAUAGAGUACCCGGAGCAUAAUGUUGACGCUGGAGCCAAAGUUGCAGAGUGCUUCUAGGAAGUCCACCAUGCCGAUGGAGAUCGGGAUGACGGGACGUCCUGGAUUGUUUUUCUUGACCGGCAGAAGGUCAGUAAUUACUUCCACAACAGGGUUACUCCAGUAGUUAUGUCCUCAAGCAUCUCAGGGCAGUGAUUGCCUGAGUGUCCAGUAUCUCCAGUGUGUUUGUGCUCGUAGAUCUAGGUUCUUCACUUGUUGGAGUCUGGGAGUUAUAAAAGUCCUUCAUAUUUUGCUCGAAGUGUACCUGCUCAUAGAGACAAGGCAGAGAUCAAGUGCAUGGGCCCUGUUGGUGGAAAACACCAACAGAACCAAAAGUGUAUUUGCUCUUCUCUAUCCUUAAGCAUAGUGAGCAAGACACAGUUGAUGGAUAAUAAGAUCAUGAGUGUAGCAUUUAAAACAUUCGUCAGAUCAGAUCACUCAACCUAAUGGAAAGAUAAUCUAUCUAUACUUAUGUUUUGUUUAUAUCUUCCAGAGAUUGAAUGUGCAACAUUUUAGUUCAUAUGAUUAGGAGUGUGGGAUCACAAAGGUGGAAGGACUAAACAUGUUGAAUCGAUUGGGUUGGUUAAUCUAGAGUUGCAAAUCAUACAUGUUUGUCUCUUUUAUUCAUGUGAACGCCAGAACCAAGGAGAAGCUUAUAAAAGUGAUAAUCAAGUACCUUAAGAUGUUACCUUUCUUAAAGAGUGAUGGUACAGUAUUACCUUGUGGAAGCUUUCCUUUCUUAGCGGUUGUGCAUCAUGUUUGUGGCACCCUCCAUAGACCAUCUCUUGUGCGCAUGCCUUCCUUGUGUAAAUUGUUAAACUUCAUGUGCCUCUCUCUUUGUCUCCAAUGUGAGUUUAUCUCAGGACUUCCCAGGUUGAUAUGAAAGUUUUCCUGCAGGGGUUAGUCCAACAAAAUAUACCAAUGUCUACACAAGCAGUUUUUAGUUCAAUAACCAAACUAGACUCCAUGUCUAAUUAGAUUAAGGAAGGCUGUUUAACCUAAGCACCAUGCUUAAUUUAAAAACCAAUAGAAGUAUGUACACUACUUCCAAACUAACACUUACUAGGAUAAACAAAGGUAGCGUGAUGGCUUUUAUAGAGAUCUACUCAAGUGGAGAUGAAGUAGUGUGAUUACUAUUUAACAAAUUGAGCAUGUCUCAAAGGUAGGGACAACCAACAUAGCAACAUGGCAAAUGAUGUUUUUAUGUGAAGUACUCCCCGAAGCUUGAAUUUUGCAGAAUUCAAGUUUGGAUGAAUUUAAUUCAAUGUUGUAUGAUGAUUGGUUGUACAUACCUUGUGCUUGUCAUUCAUCCGAUCUUCUUGCUCCAAUCCUAAAAAGGUUAGUGACAAGAAUACCCGAAGGAAUAUUUUUACAAUUAUCCUAAUAUGCUCAACACACAAGGUAAUGUUGCAAAUAAUUAAAAGCUCAUGUUAUGAUCUGAUCAGUGUUUGUUUUAGGACACUAAGCUUGUCCUUGGGAAACCAUCAAUUUAUGUCAGUGAAGUGGUUUCCCCUCCAACGCUGACCUAUAUCAAGAUCAACUAAACGAGAUCUGCAAAAUUUAUUAUAGACAUAUGCAUCGACAACUGCAAUUUUAAAGUUUUUAUAAAUAGAAAGGAUGAGGGGGUUGGAGAUCUUGAAUGUGGUGAUGUUGGAAAAACCAAUGGAUUGUGAAGAUGUUGCAUAUGAGCAUGGAGUAAAUGAAGUGGCUAUGAAAUAAAUUCCAUGCUCAUUAAUGCUUAGAGUGAAAUCCAUGUGGUAUGGUGAAAAUGAUAUGGUGAGUGUGGUAAAAAAGGAAAAUAAAAAGGAUACACGGACGACUUGGUUCGAAACUAGCACAGCUACCGCUCCCCAGCAACGGCGCCAGAAAGCUUGUUGGGUAUUUUAAACGCAAAUAGAAAAAUCCGCAAGCGCACGGAUACCGAUGUAGCUUUCACCUGGGAGUAUUCCAGAGUAUCGAUUUUCCAUAGAGAACGUGAGUGUACUAAUUAAGAUCCAAGAUCGCCCAAGGAUAACUAUAUAAUUAUUUUUGGUGGGAAGAGAGGAAGUUUCCUGAGAGUUCUCUAGUUGAUCUAAGAAUCAAGAAUUACUUCAAGAUUAUCUAUAUCCGGACGUCAGAGCACUAACCACAGAAAGAGAUGAGAAGGGGGCUAGGAAGGUCUGACUACGGUCCUACAAACACCGAUCCGAACGUGGUGGAAUACGUCGACCGUUAGGGCUGUCACUACCCUAAGGCUACCACAACAAUCCGCAGGAUUGGGUGCAAUUCCAGGUAAUCGCAAGACUAAACACCACGUCUAAUCUAUUAAUUACUACUCUAGCGUUAUAAAGACUAGAGCACUUGAUGCAAGCGAGAAUCCAAUAAAUAACUUGAAUGUAAAUAAAAGUAAUUAAAGAACUCAGGAAUUAUGAGUUGAAGAACCUGGAGAACGAUGAAGAACGAACCAGUUGCUGCAAAAGUACAAUGUUGAGGAAGAUCCGACAGAUCCGGCUCCUCCUUCUCUGCUCUCCUCUUCUCUCUCCCUAUUUUCUAGAUUACAACUAGAACUAACUAGAACUUGAACUAGAGGAACUAGAACUAGAACUAGAUGAACUAGAACUAGAACUAGAUGAACUAGAGGUAGAACUAGAAGAACUAGAGAGAUCCUCUCUACUUGGAUGAAGAAUUGAAACCCUAACUUUGAUCCUGUAGAAGAGGUAUGAUCUCCAGGGGCCAAGGGGGUCUGGUUUUAUAGUCCCUUCAAGUGAAUCUGGGCCGUUGGAUCAAACCGACAUUGAUCGUGUGGUUUUCCUUGAAGUAUUAGGUCGUUGGAGCAUGAUCCCCGAACGUCACCCUGAUUGGUCCAGGGGGGAGGGCGGGCGCCCUCAGGACUAGGGCGGGUGCCCUGUCCCUGAGGCCUCUCGGCUUCCGCUUCGGUCCCGUGGCUUCUAGAGUCUUCUAGAUGAUAGAAAAUUACGCGGCACGUUAAUAUCUCUAUGUAAACCCGACGUGUGGGCCUUUCUUCUUUAUUUCCUGAUAACCCCCUGCAGAAAUAGACAAACACCAAAUCUCGUGGAAUUCUGUCAGAUAAAACCCUAAGUCUAGGUGUUGAUUGUAUUUGGAUCCUUUUCUAUGAUUAGUUGAUAGUUAAAUGUGAGCAUUAAGGACCGUCAACAGAGUGCUCGGCGACUUCCCUCGGUAUGCCCGGCAUGUCUGAGGGACUCCAUGCGAACAUGUCGGCAUUUGCACGAAGAAAGUCGACGAGCACGGCUUCCUAUUUGGGAUUGAGGUCGGCGCUGAUCGUCAGCACCUUGCCGUCGGAGUUGUUGGGGUCGAGCGGGAUCUUCUUGGUUCCUUCCGCCGGCUCGAAGCUGCCCGCGUGGCGCUUGGGCUCUGGAGCCUCAGCGGCCAGGGCUUCGAGCUUUGCGGCGAGCUCGGUGGAACUCUCGACUGCCUCCGCAUACUCGACGCAUUCGACGUCAUACUCAUAUGCGUGCUCGAAGGAGGAGCUGACGGUGAUGACGCCCUUGGGGCCGGGCAUCUUCAGCUUCAGGUAGGUGUAGUUGGGGACAGAGAUGAAUUUGGCAUAACCCGGUCAUCCGAUGAUGGCGUGGUACGUGCCCCGGAACCCCACCACCUCAAAUGUGAGGGUCUCUUUUCUGAAGUUGGCCGUCGUGCCAAAACAGACUGGUAGAUCGAUUCGACCAACCGGCAGCGCCUUUUUUCCUGGUACGACGCCAUGGAAGCCGCCGGCGCUUGGUUGGAGCCGCCCCCUGUCGAUGGCUAGGAGGUCGAGGGUCUCGAGGUAGAUGAUGUUGAGGCUGCUGCCGCCAUCCAUCAGCACCUUUGAGAGCCGGGUGUUGAUGAUGAUGGGGUCGACAACAAGCGGGUAGACGCCAGGGGUGACUACUUUGUCGGGGUGGUCCUCUCGAUUGAAGGUGAUGGGGGUGCUCGACCAGCUGAGAUAGUGGGGCACUGCCAUCCUUGCCGCGAAAACCUCACGACGCUCCCUCUUGCGCUGUCUUUUGGUCAACUGCAUCGAGGGUCCACCGUAGAUCAUGAAGCAGUCGUGGACGGCAGGGGAACCGUCGUCGACCUUGUUGUCCUCCUUAUCACCGCCCUUCUCCUUCUUUAGGUCGUCGCGCACGUCGUUCUUGAACCCCAGACAGUCGAAAUGCUUUUUCAGCAUACGGCAGUCUUUGAGCUUGUGGUUGGCUCCUCCCUUAUGGUAAGGGCACAACUCCUCCAGCAUCUUAUCGAAGAUACCCACCUCCAGAGGGCCUCGAGGCCUUUUGCGUUCCAUGGCGGCGACGAGACAAUCGUCGAGGUCUUCUCGUUGGAAUGGUCGUGCCUUCUUCUUCUUCUUGUUUUUCUUGGGCCCUUGACCCUCGUCAUCGUCGGCGGGCAGCUUGCCCUUCCUUCCUUCACAGCUGAAGAAGGCGCUGACUGCUUCUUCUCCUGCCGCGUAGUUGGCUACCACAUCCAUCAGUUCGUCGACGGUCUGAGGGCGAUUCCGGCCUAAUUCCCGUACCAAGUCUCGACUGGUGGUACCAGAGACAAAGGCCAGGAUGACGUCGUGAUCGGGGAUGUGCGGCAGCUCGGUGCGUUGCUUUGAGAAGCGUCGAGCGUAUUCUCGAAGAGUUUCUCCUGACUUCUGCUUGCACGUGCUGAGGUCCCACGUGUUCCCGGGCCGUAUGUAAGUUCCUUUGAAAUUACCCUCGAAAACUCUAACCAGAUCGACCCAGUCGUGGAUCUGAUCGGCUGGAAGCUCUUCGAGCCACCUGCGGGCGGUGUCGGAGAGGAAGAGCGGCAGCUGCCUUAUGAUAGCUCGAUCAUCUCCUUGAGCACCUCCCAGCUGACAGGCCAGCCUGAAGUCUGCCAGCCACAGCUCCAGUUUGGUCUCUCCGUUGUACUUCGCGAUGCUGGUCGGGGGUCGGAACAGGCUGGGCAGCGGCAUGCUACGGAUUGCCCUGCUGAAUACCCGUGGGCCUGGAGGUUCUGGAGCCAUCCGGUCCUCAUCGCUAUCGUACCUCCCGCCGCGAUGGGCGUUGUAUCCGCGCUCUUCCGCAUCCCCGUACCGACGGCGUCGAUUCUCUUCAAUGUCGCGUCGCGCAUCGUGUCGACGCUGAUUGUCGACGGGGAGAAUGAGCGUGGUCUUUCUCCCUCGAGGGGGUGGCUGCUGAUGGACUGACGCCUCCUUUUUGUUUUGAGCUGGCUCAUCGCGCUUUUCAGUGGCAGCUCCUCGACGUCGAGAAGCCGAGCUUUCGGCCUGUUGAACUGCCGCCACCUGGAGUAGUGUCUGCACCUCGUCUCGAAUGCGUCGAGCUUGGGAGUUUGACGGCUUCGGCAUGUUUUGCAGCAGCAUUGUCGCUGCUACGACGUUCUGGCCUGCUCGAGGGAAACGGCUGAUGGGCUGCUCUGGCUCUGCGUCUCCAACGAUCUGUCGGUGUACCUCUCGAGCUCGUCUGCGGACACUUCCGCCAGGCGGGUAAGGCAGGUCCUGCUCGAGGAUCUGCUCAAGCAGGACAAGGCGCUCGCGGUCCUCGUCAAGCUUUGCCUUGAGUUCUCGUAGCUGCGCAAUUUGCACGGCUCUGUCUUCUUGAGGAGGGGGGUCGACUUGACCAUCAUUCCUAGGAGUCCUGGGGUCUUCUCUCGCUACGGGGGCUCGCCCACCCGUAACAGCGUCUUGUGUCUCGUCGGUGGUUUCCACCGCUCCAUCGAUAUGGAAGCACUCCCUAGUAGGGUCGUGGCUGUCAGAUUCCGAGCCAGAGUCCGGCUCGGUGGUGUAGAAACAUCCACGUCCUUCCUCCAGCAGCCGCUGUCUGAGGGAGGUAAUCGUGUAGCGUCCAGGGCCUAGGCGGCGGAGGCCUCGUACCUGGGAGAAAUCCGGUAGCUCGGACGUCGGUUGCUGUGCUUCAGGGUCGCGUGGGAGGACCAUUGGUCUCUCCACAUACGUCUGGGCGUUUGGGCAUAUCGCCCUGGCGAGUGACGCUGCGACAUUGUCCAGGCUGAACGGUAAGGCUCCUCUUGAGGCGAACAGCCCAUGUGGAAGUAGCCUGGCGGUGGGGGAGAGUGCGCGGUGGGGGAAAUCGGCCACCAUUAGCUAAUCUCUCUGCUAUCGAUAGGUAGACAGAGGUUGGUCCUGCCGAUCGACCACAGAACACAAACUUGUCCAGCCAUAUGUUCAGGAAGGUUGUUUGUUCCUUUAUGUUGACAGGCCCCGUUCUGCGGUACUUCUGGAUGUACCCAGACCAGCCGCCGAUAGCGCGGGUAUCCACUUUGGCACUAGGCGUAGUAUCAAACAGGUGACUACUAUCGGCAGUGGAUACGUCUAGGCCGGUGAGCAUGAGCACAUCGGCAAGAGUGGGAGAAGCAGGGCCGUGGCCAAAGACAAAGGCAUUGAGUGUGUCUGACUAGAAAUAUGAUGCAGCUAUCAGCAGUGAUUCAUUCCUAUGCAUAUCGGCAAUGGACAACCUAAUGCAUUGAUCCAGUUUUCGCUCACCCCACUGAACCUCAUUUGAGUGGCCGACUCUCAAGAACCAAUCCUUCCAUCCCACUGUAGGAUUGGGCCAGGAACGGAAGGUAUCCUUCCACAGAUCCAGAGAGAAAUUCUCAGCUCUAAAGGGGAUUCUGUUAGUUUCUGCGUUAAUAAGAUCGGUGGGAUCUGGAUCCCCUAACGGACCAAGACAUUGAAGGUGUGGCUGAUCGGUAGGGAUGACAAUUUUAUUGGACAGAUCCUAAUGGUUUUGAAGGUAAAAAGAAGAACAAAAAAGGGGGAAGAAUGUUCAGUAAAAUAAAUUACGGAUGAACAGGGAUAUGGUAAAAGUACAAGAGGUAGAGUGAUGAACUGACCUCGGGAAUAGCGAAGUUCAUGGCCAUCUCCUCACGACAAGGGUGAUCGAAGACUUUGAGGCUGGAGAAGGAAGGGCUUCGUCGGAGUUCUUGGAGCUCUCGAACAGCGCCGCCACCUGGAAAGAGGAGUUGGGACUGUAGAAUGAUGCGAUGGAGAAGGAGUACCCGAUAAGGAACUAUUUAUAGGACAAAACGGGCAGGGGCAAAUCUAACUUAUCUCUUCGCUGUAUCCGUGAAAUCCGAGGGUACUCAGGUAGAUAUGGUAACUGUUCGCACGGUAAUCAAGGGAUUGUGCAGGUGAUUUGACAGGAAGCGGUCAUAAUCCAGAGAUAUUUCACUGUGCGGGAUCUCCCGGUCGGUCCAUCGGCAGCGCCUUGUAACGGUAAUAUUGCCGAUGGGCGAAUAAAGUGGGGAUGUCCGUUUGGGAGGUUGAGAUAUUUCACUGUGCGGGACAUCCUGAUCGGUCCAUCGGUAGCUCCUUGUAACGGUAAUAUUGCCGAUGGGCGAUUAAAGUGGAGAUGUCCGUUUGGGAAGUUGAGGAAUUCGAGGAAUCUGCGGAAGAAUCGGGUCAAGGUUGUUCAGAUUUAGGCUGUCGGUUACCAAAUUGGGAGAAUUAAUUGCGGAAAGGCAUCAUUACUGCAGAGAAUUUCGGAGCAUUAAUGAUUUCAUACUCCGAAAUUGGUGGGCAUGUGUUGACACCGUUUUUGGACACGUACCCAGGAUCGGUAGAGUGUAGAUCGGCAAGAUAGGGCAAUAGUAAUUGGUCUGCAGGAGAGUUGCCGAUGAGGGUGGUUGCCGAUGAGAAGGUAGCCGAAUGUGGCUAAGUCCAUGGGUGGUGAUGUGUUUAUGCCGAUGACCAGCAUUAACCUUUGCCGACGGAGAGUCUGCCGAUGACGUGGAAGGAAGACUUGAAGGUUGCCGAUUGGUCUAUGGUGGCGUCCCAGUUUGUCACGGGUGGAUAGUUUUAUGUUUUCCUUAGUUAUUUCAAUCGUUCUGUGUACGGAUUCCGUUUAAUUUGGAAUUUGAGUUCUAGUCGUGUUUGGUUGUAGCUCUUUGAGCAAGGUAUAAAUGUAGACCCUAGGGCUUUGUAAUUGACAUCUAUCAAUCAAUCAAACACAAGUUUUUACUCAUAUUCUAGCAUCUACUUUUUUCGAUGACUUCGUCAUCCCUUUUCCUUUUUUAUUACGAGUUCUUAGGAACCCAUCGACUUAAGCUCAGCCGUGGCAUCCGGGGGCAUCGCUGUUGUCGGGACCAAAGUAUUCGAGUUAUCACCUUUGCCGAUAGUAAGGUCAAAUCGGCUGGCACGCCUUAACCUUUGAACCAGGUAUUAGCCCUUUGUGUUUGCAGAUAUAGCUUUUGCAUCAACAGACUCUUCAACUAUAUAGUUAGGGUCAUUAAAGUAGUGGUGUACCUUCUCAGAGGGGAAGUGCAUGUGGACUUCUCUGGUUCCAAUGUAGUUGAUUGCUUUGACGGUGCUGAGGAACGUUCUUCCGAGGAUGAUGGGUGGAUCAUACUCGUCUUCUCCCAUGUCAAUGACCUAAAAAUCUGUAUGGACAAAAUGGUCGUCUAAUUUAACAAUGAUAUCAGUUACUAUACCUUCAACCUUUUAGAAUGUCUGAUCUGCCAUCUGGAGCUAAAUGUAUGUCGAUUUUAGGGGCAUGGUACCGAACAGAAGCUGAUAGGUGACUGUGGCCAUUAUGUUGACGCCUGAUCCGGUGUCGCAGAGUGUCUUCUAGAAAUAGUAUCCACUGAUUGAGCAUUGGAUGCUUGGCACUCCUGGGUCGUCCUUCUUGAUCAGGAAGGGCGACUUGAGUUGACGAUCUUGGCCUCUAUGAACUACAGUGACUAUUUUGGUUGACUCGGUCCACACUUGCUUCUUGCUCUUGUUCCUCCUGUUGGUCCUUUUCCUUGGUUCAUAUUGAGGUUGUUCUGGGAUUUGUGCAGUCUUGUUCUUGAAGGAAAAUGUCUCCUUCCUCCCCUUGAUGUAGAAACUGAUCUUGGCAGCACUAGCGUAGAUGAAAGCCCCCGAGGUGUUCAGGAAUGACCUCCCCAGGAUGACGGGUGCCCUCUCAUCAGUACCGGUCUCUAUCACCACGAAGUAUGCUGGGACAUACAAGGUACCAACUCGGACACAGAUGUUCUUCAGUAUUCCUUUUGGAAAGCUCAAUGUCUGAUCUGCAAGCUACAAACACAUGGUUGUUUCUAAUAAAGGAUGUGUAAAGAAUUUUUCAUAGAGUACCCUGGGCAUAAUGUUGACGCUGGAGCCAAAGCCGCAGAGUGCCUCUAGGAAGUCCACCAUGCCUGUCACAGAACCGACCAAAUUAUAAGAGUUCAAGUGCAGAAACGAUCAACUAGCAAUCAAGUUUCCAUACUUGAGCCCAUAUAAUCCCAGUAGUCAACCGAAAUCACGAAGGACUUCAAACCAACAUGGAACAAACCAAGAUUGUAAUAGUUCAACAUAACACAGCGAAUGUUACAUAGUCAUUCAUUGCCGUCGAUGCGGCACCACAUCGGAGUUAAUUAGUUAUUACAACCCAAGUUUGCAGUAGCGGAAGCAAAAUAUUUUACAACACACAUUCCAAAGUUCUUUUUAUUGUCAGAGUCUCAUGCCAUCCAUCCAAAAGCAACAGGUACGAAGUUGUUAGAGAACCGUGCCCAACGGUUUAGUCCUCAUCCCCAGCGGGAUGGAGACAGGUCUUGCAGAAGCCAUCAUAAAAGAUAUCAUCUGCAACAGGUGGGAAUAAACCUUAAGUACGAAGAUGUACUCAGCUAGACUUACCCGUCUAGUAAACUAUAAAAGACACCAAGGAUCAUGCAAGGCUAUUAUAAAGUGUAGCUGGCUUGACUCAACAUUUGCCAAAAGCUCAAGUGAUUACUAUCCCAUUUGUAAAGGCAUCAUAUUAAUCUUUAUUAACCCAGCACUAGAUUAGCACCUGUAAUAAAGCACUUCACUUUGAUUAAUACAAACAAUAAUAACCAUAUCAAGUUGAUCAUAUGCUCUUUCUAGCUAUCAUCAUUAUCACGAACCAUUGUUCUUUAGUGAAUGCUACGUUUGCCGCUGCUCUGUCAAGUUCUCAUUAUCCGGGAGAGACGGCGAUUUGAAUCGAUUCCUAUCCAGCUGGAGGGUUAUUCCUAGCACUCACCCAAGCAUCCCCCGUCGGAGAGCAAAUGGGUCACCUUUGGUAUGACUCAGGAAUCGCGGCUCCGAUCAGCGCCGCACUCCCAGGGCUACCACUCUGCCUGGGAGGUCAGGACUUUUAACUCACCUGCCUUUGGUCUUACGCCAAUGGUCCCCCGCACACCACACUUCCUCCGAUAGUGCGCACUUUAUACUUGCCGGUCUUCCGGCCUGAGUCAUACUACUAGGCUUCGCGAUUGAAACGAAUUAUCCGGCCAACUAAGUGUUAGGCAUGCGUUCAACAUGACAAGUGGACGUGCAACGAUCGGUCCUUAGCUGCCACAGACGGAGUUACUACAACCUUGCAAAACUCCACCCGGCUUAAGUCAUUUUAAUCAGGUUCUUUCCACGAUAGCACAUAUAGACGAUCGUGAUCCGACACAACUCGCGCAGGUGACAGGAUAUCACUCAACUUCUACCGAUUUAAGCAUGGCUAAGCUGCUACUCGAUCCUAACUCUAUGACCAGGCAAUGGUAAGAUAUCUGCACAAGGAAUAAGGAUAAUGCAGCAAGGGUUUCAUCACAACUCCUAUACGUAAUGCAUCAAUAGAUAUAACAUAUUCAAGUAAACUUUUAAAAUUAAAGUGGGAGACUUAAGAUGCUCUGGGGCUUGCCUUUCACGAACGAGGCAGGCUCGUGAUUAGGGCACUCAAUCUCCUCUUCGGGCUCCUCGUGUCCGACUGGCUGGAGCUCCGCCUCCGGAUUGAUCUCCUGGCCUUCGGGAUUCACCAGGUUGGGCUCGAACGAGGUCGCCGCUUCCGAUGCACCUAUUGCAUGCAUGAUGAAUAAGAAUGUGUGCAUCCUAGAUGAGGAUGAAUGCUUGAUAACAUAAUUAGAACUUCACUGGACACUCAUUUACGGAGUAACUCUCAUUACAAGUUCACACAAGAUGAUUAACUACUGAGCAAGAUUACCAACUUAAACUACAAACAGCAAGCAUCCCAUAACAGAACAGCUCAGUAAACAGAUCAUAACUAUUGCAAUAUAAAUCCAACAAACAUGAAUGAGGACAUUCUGGAAAGCUUAUGAAAUUGUCUAUAUUUCAUCUUUAUAGAUCACAGCAGGAUUCCCAAGUUAAACAGGUCAAUUAAACAAAGUUCCAGGUUCUGUCCCAGAAAAACAGAGAACACCUAUUUCUGGAACCCAACUUGGAAGAGCCAUAACUUUUAGACUAUUGGACCAAAUGAUCCCAAAUUUAAACCACAGCUAGUUCAUAAAGUUUACAAAAACUUUGAUUUAGAGAAGUCUUCCAGAAAACCAAGUUAUCAUUAAGCAAAGGUUAGAUUACUCCCUUGCUGUCCAGAACAGCUUUUAGCCCUCUAAUUAAUUAUUUGAUGACAUAGCCAAAACAUAUUUAGUGCCAACCAAAUGGCUUACAAGCACAAGUAUACCCUAAGGUUGCCAGAGCAUCACAUGCUAACCACUAAACACCCAAUAACAUGGCACUUAUUAAUUUAAUUCCAUAAAGGGACAUAAUUACAAGCUAUCAACAAAAGUACUCAGAAAACUCUACAACAAUUACAGAAACACAAGCAUGGCAUCUACACAUUACCAUAAAAAUUUCAGAGCAAUUACACAUGCCAAACUUAAGAUAAGUAUUUAACAUGUAUCAAGGUGCUUAUUUCAUAAAUUAAGAAACAUGGCUUAGGUAGUGUCAAACAACAUAUUUCAGAUUAUUUACAUGUUACUAUUACCAUAAAAAAAGCUUGACACUAAAAUAGAAUACCAGCAUAAGCAUAAAUCAUUUAUUAUGAUUUAAUUAAGAAAACAAGCCAUAGAACCAACAUAAAUUAUAUAUCACAGAAACAUUACUCUAAAAAUCAUGAAAUAUUUAUCAUAGCAUUCUAAUACCACUCAGAGCACAACAUAAAAAUUUCAUAGCAAAAGAAGCAGUCUAUCAACAGAUAUGAAUUUACACAUAAAUAACAUGAUUAAAUCAUAACAAUUAUUUUUCCCAGAAAACAUGGUACAUUUUAUAUUUUUAUUAAAAACUAGCCAUCUCAAGGAACAUCACAAAAUUUAUCUCACAAAUUUUGGAUCAGAGGAACUAGAGAAAUGAUUUUUGCAAAAAUAGCACAAACCCUUAAUCAAACAAAGGAGAAAGAGAGACUGACAGGGGGACCCCGCAGGUCAACGGACCCCACACGUCAGUGACCCGAGAGCAGAGGCGCGACUUGACCGCCGGAGAUCUCGUCGACGGCGAGGUCUCGGCGACGGCCAAGAGCACCAUUGUGCUCCUCACUCCAUUCCGCACCGAUUGGUACCAGGAACCCUAACUCUACCGCACCCUAGGUACCUCGCCCUCGCGAAUGGCGGCACGACGGUGGUGUGCGGCCGACCGCCGGCGUCUCUGGUCGGAGACUGGGCAAAAGAGGACUCGGACGAGCAUCAGCACGACUCAGCGGAGCUUUUGGGACAAGAACGAGGAGAAAUGGUGGACUACAGAGCCCUGACCACGACACCGGUGACCACGGCGGAGCUCCGGCGAGGUAAGCUCGCGACGGAGAAGACAAUAUGGGCUCACUGAAGCUCGGCAGCCACAGCCAACUCGACGACGGGGAAGCGGGGAAGCUGGCGGAGCUCUGGGCGGAGUUGCUCAGCCAGAGGUGCUGAGACGCGAGCGCGCGAGCUCGCCGAAGUAGUGGCGGCGACGCGGAGAAGACGACGAGCGCGAGAGAGGGCGGACCGGAGUGGAAAUGGCGCUGUCCACGUGACCAGGGGCGUCGUGGUGAGCUGUAGGACAUACGGAUGCCACGAGUCUAGACACGCGGCGUCACCGGCGAGCUCCCCUCUACUGACGCCGUCUCGAUUCAGUUUCAGAGCCGACUGAAACUUGAUUUUGGACUUCGAUGAUCUCCUAAACUAUUCGAUGAUUUUGCUAGCUAAUUGCUCCAUGCUGUAGAGCUACAUGAGAACUCCAACAUUGCUUACAAGAUCAAGGUUUGAUUCGGCCUAGAUUUCAAAAUGGGAGCUAAACAAAACACCCUCGAGCAAACUGUUGCAAUCCCAGACUUAGAAAAUUUUCUAAGUGUUGGAAACAGCCCCAAAUCUGCCUUGUGGGCCAUUUUUGAGCUAGAUGUGAUCACUUCCAUGAGAUGUCCAUAAAACAACUUUUGUUCCUUAUAACAUUUGCUACAACUUUGCUAUAGAAUGUUUUGACAUGCAAACACUUUAUGAAACACUUUUUAAAAGCUUAAGCAAAAGAGGUUUCUAGGGCCUAUACAUGGAAGUAUGACUUAAGUACUUAAUUUGGAGAAGUGAUCAACAUGAACAUUGUUCCAAAGGUUGAGUUAAGCAUAGAGAAACUAUUUACUAAGGAAUAGCACACAAGCAUGAGCAUGGUAUAAGUAAACACAAGCAUAGGAAGUAUAUUUAAGCAAGUUAAAUCACAUUUUGGCAUAAAAUGACAUGACUCAAGGUAGAUGAUGAUCAUGAUAUGCUUGAGUAGAUGAUGAUGCUCAUGUUAUGCAUGUGAUUGAUGCAACCAUAACACUGGGGUGUUACAGCCCUCCCCCCUUACAAAAAUCUCGUCCCGAGAUUUGGAAGCUUACUGAUUUUCGAAGAAGGUUUUAUAAACUUCUUUUAAAUAGUCCUCUGUUUCCCAAGUGGCAUCUUCCUCCCCGUGGUUACUCCACAACACUUUGUAGAACUUAACCACAUGAUUACGAGUCACCCGUUCCUUGCGGUCGACCACCGCUACAGGUUUCUCUUCAUACACGAAGUCAGAUUUCAACUUGAUAUCCCGAACUUCCACUCAUUCCUCUAGAACUCGAAGGCAUUUCUUCAAUUGUGAUACGUGAAAAACAGGAAAAAUAUCUCGAAGCUCAAUUGGUAGUUGAACUUUGUAUGUUACGUUCCCUUUUCUCUCGAGAAUCCGAUAAGGUCCUACAUAGCGAGGUGCAAGCUUUCGCUUGACUCCGAACCUCUGUACGCCUUUCAUCGGAGACACCUUGAUAUACACAUGGUCACCGACUGCAAACUCAAUUGGUUUCCUUCUCUUAUCAGCAUAACUUUUCUGACGAGCUUGAGCAGCUUCCAGAUGUUAUUGGAUGGUACGGACUUGCAGCUUUGCUUCGUUCACGAAAUCGAUGCCAUAAUACCUUCGUUCCCCGGAUUCCACCCAAUUCAACAGGGUUCGACAUUUACGACCAUACAGGGAUUCAAAUGGAGCCAUCAUGAUGCUCUCUUGGUAACUAUUGUUAUAAGAGAACUCAGCUAAUGGUAACCACUUUACCCAAGAACCUUUUGAAGAGAGAGCACAUGCUCUCAACAUGUCUUCUAGAAUUUGGUUAACCCGUUCAGUUUGGCCGACCGUUUGAGGAUGAUAAGCAGAACUAUGAACCAAGUGAGUACCAAUCUGCUCAUGCAGACACUCCCAAAAACGAGCAGUGAACUGUGGUCCACGAUUUGACAUGAUAGUUCGAGGCACACCAUACUGACGGACAAUGUGCUCGAAGUACAACUCUGCAUACUGAUGUGGACGAUAGUCAGUUCGAACGGGAAUAAAACGGGCAACCUUGGUCAAACGAUCCACAAUCACCCAGAUAGAGUUGUAACCCUUAAUAGAAAUUGGGAGUCCAGAGAUGAAAUCCACACUAACUUCUUCCCAUUUCCAACCAGGAAUUGACAAGGGUUGAAGUAAGCCUGCUUUCAUGUGAACAGCCUUCACACGACAACAGUUGUCACAACGAGCGACAAAAGCAGCAAUCUCCUUUUUCAUCUUGGUCCACCAAAACAGAGGUUUCAGAUCCUGAUACAUCUUGCUACUACGAGGAUGGAUAGACAACUUGGAUGAAUGAGCUUCAGAUAAAAUCUGGUUUCGUAGCUCACGGUCUUUUGGGACCACAAGUCGAUCCUUGAACCAUAGAAUUCUGUUUUCAUCGACCCGGAAAUGGUUGGUUUCUUCUUCUUUCAUUUUCCUCUUUAUAUGGUAGAUGCCUACAUCUGUUUGCUGCAAUUUGAUGUCUCGAUUGCGAAGAGAACUCUCUAGAGAAAUCAGGUUGAGCACAAGUGGGUGCAAAAGAUGUGACAACAAUGGAUCUUCCAUCUGGACUGAAUGACAGUGCGUCUUCUGACUCAAGGCAUCCGCAACCAUGUUUGCCUUGCCCGGAUGGUAGAGCACUUGAAGAUUAUAAUCUUUAAUCAACUCAAGCCACCUUCGCUGUCGCAUGUCCAAUUCAGGUUGAGUGAAGAUGUACUCAAGACUCUUAUGAUCCGUGUAGAUAUUGCACAGAUUACCCAGCAAAUAGUGCCUCCAGAUUUUCAAAGCAUGGACAACUGCAGCCAAUUCUAAGUCAUGAGUAGGAUAAUUGACCUCAUGCUUUUGAAGUUGGCGCGAGGCAUAAGCGAUAACACGACCUUCAUGCAUCAACACACAGCCUAGGCCGAUACCAGACACGUCACAAAAGACAUCGAAAUGCUUCUCGAUAUCGGGUUGAGCUAGGACAGGAGCUGAUGUUAGCAAUGUCCUCAACUUGUGGAAUGCUUCUUCACACUUCGGCGUCCACACAAACUUCUCAUCCUUCUGAAAGUAGGCGAGUCAUAGGCUUGGAUAUUUUUUAGAAUUCCAGAAUGAAUCGAUGAUAAUACCCAGCCAGACCUAGAAAACUCCGAACCUCAUGCACCAAAGUUGGAACCUUCCAGUCCAGCAAUUCUUUCACCUUAGCUGGAUCCACCGAUAUGCCUUCUUCAGAUAAGACGUGGCCCAAGAAAGGAACUUUCUUUAGCCAAAACUCACAUUUGCUGAACUUGGCGUAAAGCUGAUGCUCACGCAAACGCGACAACACUACACGCAGAUGCUCCACGUGCUCUUUUUCAUUGCGAGAAUAUACCGAGAUAUCAUCAAUGAAGACUACCAUAAAUUUGUCCAAUUCGUGCAUGAAUACCGAAUUCAUGAGAUACAUGAAGUGAGCAGGCACAUUCGUAAGACCGAAAGACAUGACGAGAUACUCAUACAACCCAUACCUCGUCGAGAAAGCUGUCUUAGGUACAUCUUCAGGACGGAUCUUGAUCUGAUGGUACCCAGAUCGCAAAUCAAUCUUGGAGAAUACCUUGGCUUUAGACAACUGGUCAAACAGGAUAUAAUGCAAUGAAGAGGGUAUUUAUUCUUGAUGGUCACCGCAUUCAGGGGAUGAUAGUCCACACACAUGCGCAAGGACUGAUCCUUCUUCUUCACAAAGAUAGCCGGACAACCCCAAGGAGAAGAACUAGGACGAAUAAGACCCUUCUUCAACAACUCAUUAAGCUAGGUCUUAAGCUUAGCAAGCUCAUUUGGUGGCAUUAUAUAUGGUCUUCUAGAGAUAGGAGCAGUACUUGGAAGCAAUUCAAUUUUGAACUCCACAUCCCGAUCUAGAGGAAGCCCGGGCAAAUCAUCAGGGAAUACAUCUGAGAACUCACACACUACUGGAAUAUCCUCGAUGGCCCUAGAUGUAACUACAUUCAUCGUGCUACGAAUAUGAAUAUCUCAAGGAAGUUGCACUAAGAACGCCUCUUUGGUAUUCGGGUCUCUCAACAUCACCGCGCUAGUGGUGGUAUCGAUAAGAACUCCGUUGCAACUCAUCAACUGCAUACCCAGAAUUACAUCUAUACCCACACCUGGUAGAACAACCAGAUUAGCAAGGAACUGAUGGCCUCCUAUUUCCAGAGUUGCCCCCAAAACCACUUGAUUGGUAGAAAUAUCAUUUCCAGCAGCACUAAUGCAAUAACUGCCCUUAUCAAGUGUAAUUGCCUUGAGAUUAUGCUUAGACACAAAGUCUGAACUCACAAAAGAAUGCGAUGCUCCUGAAUAAAAAAGCACAAGUGCAUCACAUUGAUUAACCAAAAACUUACCAGUCGUAACUACCUCACCAGCAGGGAUUGCUUCCACAGUUGUAUAGUGAACACGCACCUGACGGACGUUCCCUUGGUUGCCCUUCUUUGGCGGGUAAGGACAGUUGCUUUGCCAGUGCCCUGUCUGAUUACAGUUCCAGCACGGAUGGUUGCUAGGUGGAGUCUUGGCAUAGCUAGGACCGGUGUUGCCCAUAGGAAGAGCAAUGGAGUGACCCUUGUGGAACCCCGUCUUCGCCUGAUUCUUCUUCGCUGGAGGGCGAUAUCGCUGGUUAGGAGUUGGAGCACAAUACUGGGGCCUAGCUGCCACUGGAGCCUUGGACUGAGAUGCCCCUGCCCCGGCCUCAAAAGCCCUCUUACGAGUCUUGGUCGACGUGUACACAGUGUUGUUGUUCUCUUGGGUAAGAGCAUCACUGACAAACUCAUUGAAAGUUGCACACUUGGUGCGGCCCAUCGUCUUCAACAACUUGGGGCCAAGACCCCUCUUGAAGCUAGCAUUCUUCUUCAUCUCAGUGCUCACAAACUCAGGAGCAUACCUUGACAGGUGAUUUAAAACAUGCAAGUACUCCUUCAGGGUUUUGUUGCCCUGAGUUAACUGCAUAAACUCGGUAUGCUUCAUUUCCAUGACACCAGGAGGGAUGAAAUGCCCCUUGAAAGCUUCACGAAAGAGAUUCCAGUCAAGCAUAGUGUUCUCCGGAAGAGCCUCACAAUACUAAUUCCACCAUAUGCCUGCCGGAUCCUGCAGUUGGUGAGCUGCAUACUCGGCCUUCAAACCAUCGGUCAGCCGAAGCAAGCGGAACUUUUGUUCCACCGUGUUCAGCCACUCCUCAGCUUGAAGGGGUUCUUCAGCCUCUGAAAGAUGGGGGUGUUGGGUAUUUUAAACGUAAACAGAAAAAUCCGCAAGCGCACGGAUACCGAUGUAGCCUUCACCCGGGGGUAUUCCAGAGUAUCGAUUUUUCACAGGGAAUGUGAGUGUACUAAUUAAGAUUCAAGAUCGCCCAAGGAUAACUAUAUAAUUAUUUUUGGUGGAAAGAGAGGAAGUUUCCUAAGAGUUCUCUAGUUGAUCUAAGAAUCAAGAACUCAAGAUUAUUUAUAUCGGGACAUCAGAGCACUAUCCACAAAAAGAGAUGAGAAGGGGGCUAGGAAGGUCUGACUACGGUCCUACAAACACCGAUCCGAACGAGGUGGAAUACGUCGACCGUUAAGGCUGUCACUACCCUAAGGCUACCACAACAAUCCGCAGGAUUGGGUGCAAUUCCAGGUAAUUGCAAGACUAAACACCACGUCUAAUCUAUUAAUUACUACUCUAGCGUUAUAAAGACUAGAGCACUUGAUGCAAGUGGAAAUCCAAUAAAUAACUUGAAUGUAAAUAAAAGUAAUUAGAGAACUCAGGAAUUAUGAAUUGAAGAACCUGGAGAACGAUGAAGAACGAACCAGUAGCUGCAAAAGUACAAUGUUGAGGAAGAUCCGACAGAUCCGGCUCCUCCUCCGCUCUCCUCUUCUCUCUCCCUAUUUUCUAGAUUACAACUAGAACUAACUAGAACUAGAACUAGAGGAACUAGAACUAGAACUAGAUGAAAUAGAACAAGAACUAGAUGAACUAGAGGUAGAACUAGAAGAACUAGAGGGAUCCACUCUACUUGGAUGAAGAAUUGAAACCCUAACUUUGAUUCUGUAGAAGAGGUAUGAUCUCUAGGGGCUAGAGGGUCUGGUUUUAUAGUCCCUUGAAGUGAAUAUGGGCCGUUGGAUCAAACCGACAUUGAUUGAAUGGUUAUCCUUGAUCCUUUAGGUCGGUGGAGCAAUAUCCCAAAAGAGAGUCCUGUUUGGACUCUAUGUGAGGGCGGGCGCCCAGGAGAGUAGGGCGGGUGCCCUGUCCCUGAGUCCUCUCGGCCUCUGCUUCGGUCCCAUGGCUUCUGGAGUCUUCUAGAUGAUAGAAAAUUGCGCGGCACGUUAAUAUCUCUAUGUAAACCCGACGUGUCGGCCUUUCCUCCGUAUUUCCUGAUAACCCCCUGCAGAAAUAGAUAAACACCAAAACUCAUGGAAUUCUAUCAGAUAAAACCCUAAGUCUAGGUGUUAGAUGCAUUUGGAUCCUUUUCCAUGAUUAGCUGAUGGUUAAAUGUGAGCAUUAAGGACCGUCAACAAGCUCCCCCAAGCUUAACCUUUGCUCGUUCCUGAGCAAAGAUGGACUCAAGAGUUUCUGCAGUAGUUUCAUGCCUUAAAGGUACACAUGCGUUUACACAAGAUCUCAUCUCUGAGUUAGGGUAAACUGUUAAGACUUAAAACUUACUCAUUUUACCUUCCACCACGGGGCUUGUAACCAUCACCUGUCUUGAGCAGUUAAAAGAUAGAACGGUCUAGUCAAGCGCCAUGUCUCUUGUUCUUCGAUUAACUAUAGCUCUGGAGUUUUUUGUAGAUUUUCAAAUAAAACUCAGAGAUUCCUUGUAUGACUCUCUCUAGUCUCUCUUUUGUGGUAUUUCUGGAUCCUUACCAAGGCAGUAAUGGUGUAUGCCUUCUCUCAAAGUAUGUGGUAUUAUUGGUAUGAGGCAUAGUGGCAUUGCCUUCUCUGUCACCCUACUUUAAUAAGGUUUUGAUAUCUGGAGCUCAUAGGUGGGAGACAGCUAAUACAUACUUACAAGACAUUUAUUGCAUAGUCAAACCAUGGAUUCAGAAGAACAAGUCAAUAAGUCAAAUCAAGAUGUGCAUGUGUGGCGAAUGAAUGGUGCAUGGUAAUGAUGGUGAUAACAAUGGUGAAAGUCUAAUUCUACUUGUGCUCUUUUGAGGGGAUACAUACCUUUCUUGCUCUUUUGAAACUUUUAGAGGGGAAUGAGAUGCUCUAUAUUUUCUUUUCUUUUUUUUUCUUUUCUCUCAGGUGGGUAUCUUGUACCCCUAAUUCUACUGUCGGACACUUGUCCAUUUUUACCUCUCGUCUCACUUUUUGUUUUCUUUCGAGGUUCUGGGCACUUGCCCCUUUUUAUUUCCUCAUAUUCACUUUUUUCUUCAGAGCACUCAUCCUCCUAGAAUAAUAUAGCAAGUGGUAGUAACCAAAAUAUCUUGAGCAUUUAUUUCACAGGGGAAAUAGAAAUGUUUUUGGCUACUCUCUCCCGGAUUAGGAGUAGAAUAUUUUUAGUUGAUUCUGGAGAUGGAAAUGUGUGGAUAUAUGUGGAUGCGUACUUCUGGAAUAGAAGCAGCAUGUGUGAGUGAACGUGCAAGUGAAUCUUGAUUUAAACACAUGACAAGCUCCUAAGGGUCUACACAGCUUGACCACACUCAAUGCUCAUAAGCAGUAAAGUAAAUGUACGGUUCAAAGUCUACCAAGCAUGUAUAUAUGGCUGUGGUAGGAAUUUAAAUUCUCAUCAUAUAGGAACUCAUCAUGUGAUAUUUUAAAGAUUUUUCAAAGAUAAAAUUCUCCAGAAUUCUAGCAUCUCUAGGAACAGAUAAACAGCAGCUCAACCUUCCCAUAUCAUAUCCGUUAACGACUUAGACUUCAGAUCAAGUACUCUUCCCACAAGUUCAGGUUUAGAGCAGAGUUAAAUUAUAACAGUUAUGCCUAAACUCGAGAGAGAUUUCAAUUUUGAGAACUAGUCAUGGCUGAGCAACUAUUCAUCAUUUCCAUGUGAGAGCUUAUCAUGAGGGUUCAUAGCAAACUUUAUUUAUUUAUUUAUUUAGCAAACUAAGCAAAGAUAUAUAUAAGCACAAAAUCUUUAUUUGGGUUUUUAUGAUUGUGCAUCUUUUUUAUUAUUUAAGUAAAGUAUAAACAUGAGUAGAACACUUAGCUGGAUAAAUGGGGUGCUCUCCCCCAAGCUAGAUUUUGACGUAAUUUCUUCUGAUGUAGCUAGCAGGUGGCGGAGGUGUAUUUGAAUGUUGGCAGCACCCUGACAGCGAUUAGGAUGUCCUCUGUCUGCUAGUCUUCUUUGAUCCUUGAAUUCUGUGGAGCUCAAAUAGACAACAAAGCUUUGUGGAACUAGUUAAGUGUUAGCAUAAAUAUCUAGCCUUUAUCAUGUUGAGCCUCCUCAAUAAAUGUUACUCUCUUAGUAGGAUCAUUUAUUUUUAUAAUUUUAUUUUUAUAGGACAGGAAUAUAUUUAUUUUAUUUUUAUGCCACCACAGUGAAUGUACUUAUGGGUUUUAUGCCAUGAGCAUACUCACAUGGGGCUUACUAUUUUUAACAUUUUUCUUUUCUUUUCAAGAUGAUAUGAACCUGAUUAACUAAGCAAACUAUUUUAAAAUAAUUGAAAGGAAAAAGAUAACUACAAAGUUUACCUCUUGGCAAGGCGUUCGGUGUUUUUAAGUCCUCCGAACGGGACUCUCCUUUUCCUCAGUCGUCCUAGGAUUCGCUGGAUGGCGUAGUCGGUGGUUCCGGCGGCGCCUCUUCUUCAUGUAUAACUAUUUUCUCACUCCACACCUAACUCGGUGCUACGGUCUCCUCAGGACAGUUUUGUUCAAGCUGUAUGUCUUCAGACCUUACUAAUUUUCCUUUGUAGUCUGCCCAUCCGUCCUUGAUGAUUUGCCUCCUCUAGUUACGGUUGCGUCGUCUUCUUCUUGUCCUGAUCUGCUUAGAGUCUUCAAUUAUAUAAUUGGGGUCAAUAAAAUAGCGGCGUACCUUCUCAGAGGGGAAGUGCAUGUGGACUUCUCCGGUUCCAAUGUAGAUGAUUGCUUUAACGGUGCUGAGGAACGAUCUUCCAAGGAUGAUGGGUGGAUUGUACUCGUCUUCUCCCAUGUCAAUAACCUUAAAAUCAUCUAGAGCUGAAUGUAUGUUGGUUGUAAGGGUAUGGUUCUAUGCAGGAGCUGAUAGGUGACUGCGGCCAUUAUGUUGACGCCUGAUCCGGUGUCGCAAAGCGUCUUCUGCAAAGAAUAUCCAUUGAUUGUGCACUCGAUGCUUGGAACACCAAGGUCGUCCUUCUUGAUCAAGAAAGGCGACUUGAGUUGAUGAUCUUGACCUCCUUGAGCUGUAGUGACCAUCUUAGCUGACUCAGUCCACAUUUGCUUGUUCCUGUUCCUCUUGUUGGUCCUCUUCCUUGGUUCAUGUCAGGAAUGCUUUGAGAUUUGUGUAGUCUUGUUCUUGAAGGAAAACGUCUCCUUCCUCCCUUUGAUGUAGAAACUGAUCUUGGCAGCACUAGCGUGGAUGACAGCUCCCGAGGUGUUCAGGAAUGACCUCCCUAGGAUGAUGGGUGCUCUCUCAUUAGUAUCAGUCUCUAUUACCACGAAGUCUGCUGGAGCGUAUAAGGUACCAACUCGGACACAGAGGUUCUUCAAUAUUCCCUUUGGGAAACUUAGUGUCUGAUCUGCAAGGUGCAAACACAUGGUUGUUUCUAGUAAAGGAUGUGUAAAGAAUUUUUCAUAGAGUACCCUGGGCAUAAUGUUGACGCUGGAGCCAAAGACAUAGAGUGCUUCUGGGAAGUCCACCAUGCCGAUGGAGAUCAGGUUGACGGGGCAUCCUGGAUCACCUCUCUUGACCGGCACAAGGUCAGUAAUUACUUCCAUAACGGGGUUACUCCAGUAGUUAUGUCCUCAAGCAUCUCAGGGCAGUGGUUGCCUGAGUGUCCAGUCUCUCCAGUGUGUUUGUGCUCAUAGAUCUAGGUUCUUCACUUGGUGGAGUCUGGGAGUUGUAAAAGUCCUUCAUAUUUUGCUCAAAGUGUACCUGCUCAUAGAGACAAGGCAGAGAUCAAGUGCAUGGGCCCUGUUGGUGGAAAACACCAACAGAACCAAAAGUGUAUUUGUUCUUCUCUAACCUUAAGCAUAGUGAGCAAGACAAAGUUGAUGGAUAAUAAGAUCAUGAGUGUAGCAUUUAAAACAUUUGUCAGAUCAAAUCACUCAACCUAAUGGAAAGAUAAUCUAUCUAUACUUAUGUGUUUUGUUUAUAUCUUCUAGAGAUUGAAUGUGCAACAUUUUAGCUUAUAUGAUUAGGAGUGUAGGAUCACAAAGGUGGAAGGACUAAACAUAUUGAAUCGAUUGGGUUGGUUAAUCUAGAGUUGUAAAUCAUACAUGUUUGUCUCUUUUAUUCAUAUGAAUGCCAGAACCAAGGAGAAGCUUAUAAAAGUGAUAGUCAAGUACUUUAAGAUGUUACCUUACCUGAAGAGUGAUGGCACAGUAUCACCUUGUGGAUGCUUUCCUCUCUUAGCGGUUGUGCAUCGUGUUUAUGACACCCUCGAUGGAUCAUCUCUUGUGAGCUAUGCUUUCCUUGUGUAAAUUGUUAAACUUCAUGUGUCUCUCUCUUUGUCUCCAAUGUGAGUUUAUCUCAGGACUUCCCAAGUUGAUGUUGAAAGUUUUUUUUUGCAGGGGUUAGUCUGACAAAAUAUACGAAUGUCUACACAAGCUGUUUUUAGUUCAAUAACCAAACUAGACUCCAUGUCUAAUUAGAUUAAGGAAGGCUGUUUAACCUAAGCACCAUGCUUAAUUUAAAAACCAAUAGAAGUAUGUACAGUACUUCCAAACUAACACUUACUAGGAUAAACAAAGGUAGCGUGAUGGCUUUUAUAGAGAUCUACUCAAGUGGAGAUGAAGUAGUGUGAUUACUAUUUAACAAAUUGAGAAUGUCUCAAAGGUAGGGACAACCAACAUAGCAACAUGGCAAAUUAUGUUUUUAUAUAAAGUACUCCCCGAAGCUUGAAUUUUGCAAAAUUCAAGUUUGGAUGAAUUUAAUUCAAUGUUGUAUGAUGAUUGGUUGUACAUACCUUGUGCUUGUCAUUCAUCCGAUCUUCUUGCUCUAAUCCUGGAAAGGUUAGUGACAAGAAUACCCGAAGGAAUUUUUUUACAAUUAUCCUUAUAUGCUCAAUACACAAGGUAAUGUUGCAAAUAAUUAAAAGCUCAUGUUAUGAUCUGAUCAGUGCUUGUUUUAGGACACUAAGCUUGUCCUUGGGAAACCAUCAAUUUAUGUCGGCGAAGUGGUUCCCCCUCCAACGCUGACCUAUAUCAAGAUCAACUCAACGAGAUCUGCAAUAUUUAAUAUAGACAUAUGCAUCGACAACCGCCCUUUUAAUGUUUUUAUAAAUAGAAAGGAAGAGGGGGUUGGAGAUCUCAAAUGUGGUGAUGUUGGAGAGACCAAUGGAUUGUGAAGAUGUUGCAUAUGAGCAUGGAGUAAAUGAAGUGGCUAUGAAAUAAAUUCCAUGCUCAUUAAUGCUUUGAGUGACAUCCAUGUGGUGUGGUGAAAAUGGUAAGGUGAGUGUGGUAAAAAAAAGAAAAGAAAAAGGAUACACAGACGACUUGGUUCGAAACUAGCACAGCUACCGUUCCCCGGCAACGGCGCCAGAAAGCUUGUUGGGUAUUUUAAACGCAAACAGAAAAUUCCGCAAGCGCACGGAUACCGAUGUAGCCUUCAGCCGGGGGUAUUCCAGAGUAUCGAUUUUCCACAGGGAACGUGAGUGUACUAAUUAAGAUUCAAGAUCGCCCAAGGAUAACUAUAUAAUUAUUUUUGGUGGGAAGAGAGGAAGUUUCCUGAGAGUUCUCUAGUUGAUCUAAGAAUCAAGAAUUACUUCAAGACUAUUUAUUUCAGGACAUCAGAGCACUAACCACAAAAAAAGAUGAGAAGGGGGCUAGGAAGGUCUGACUACGGUCCUACAAACAUCGAUCCGAACGAGGUGGAAUACGUCGACCGUUAAGGCUGUCACUACCCUAAGGCUACCACAACAAUCUGCAGGAUUGGGUGCAAUUCUAGGUAAUUGCAAGACUAAACACGACGUCUAAUCUAGUAAUUACUACUCUAGCGUUAUAAAGACUAGAGCACUUGAUGCAAGCAGAAAUCCAAUAAAUAACUUGAAUGUAAAUAAAAGUAAUUAGAGAACUCAGGAAUUAUGAAUUGAAGAACCUGGAGAAUGAUGAAGAACGAACCAGUAGCUGCAAAAGUACAAUGUUGAGGAAGAUCCGAUAGAUCCGGCUCCUCCUCCGCUCUCCUCUUCUCUCUCCCUAUUUUCUAGAUUACAACUAGAACUAACUAGAACUAGAACUAGAGGAACUAGAACUAGAACUAGAUGAACUAGAACUAGAACUAGAUGAACUAGAGGUAGAACUAGAAGAACUAGAGGGAUCCUCUCUACUUGGAUGAAGAAUUGAAUCCCUAACUUUGAUUCUGUAGAAGAGGUAUGAUCUCUAGGGGCCAGGGGGUCUGGUUUUAUAGUCCCUUCAAGUGAAUAUGGGCCGUUGGAUCAAACCGACAUUGAUUGAACGGUUAUCCUUGAUCCUUUAGGUCGGUGGAGCAAUAUCCCGAAAGAGAGUCCUGAUUGGACUCUAUGUGAGGGCGGGCGCCCUGUCCCUGAGUCCUCUCGGCCUCCGCUUCGGUCCCGUGGCUUCUGGAGUCUUCUAGAUGAUAGAAAAUUGCGCGGCAUGUUAAUAUCUCUAUGUAAACCCGACGUGUGGGCCUUUCCUCCGUAUUUUCUCAUAACCCCCUGCAGAAAUAGACAAACACCAAAACUCGUGGAAUUCUAUCAGAUAAAACCCUAAGUCUAGGUGUUAGUUGCAUUUGGAUCCUUUUCCAUGAUUAGUUGAUGGUUAAAUGUGAGCACUAAGGACCGUCAACAGGUGGCUUAGUAUCCAUGAAAUCCUUGAAGCUACUGUACUGAUUAGGUGCUGGCCUAUCCGGUGCAUUCUGACCACCCUGGUUUACCAUCUGAUUGAUGGUUUCAGUGAGCAGCCUCUGAUUUUCCACCAUCAUUUGCAUCAGCUCAGUUGGAUUUCGUGGUGGAGGAGGAGGGGGUGGAUUGAUGUUCGCACGCUGCUCCGCACCUCGAGUGCCACGAGACAUCUGUAAGGACACAGUCAGUGAGUAUUGAUGAUGACAAGAUUUGCCGUAGAAGAACUUAUAUUCAUGCCUGAAAGUAUUCGGGAGAAUAAAUUUACAGAAAAAGGCACAAUAAUUCAAUUCCACAAAACAACAUCACCAAUCCAACACAUGACAUAGAUAUCCGCAAUAUGCACAACAAUGGAAAACAUCAUCAUAUCCGGUCGAACAUGAUAAGGUUAAACAACAUUGGGUCCAUAAAGUUAUUACACCAUCAGAGUACAGGCCAUAAGUCAAAGAUCAAGGUUCUGGAUUACAUGAAGAUUACAAAUGCAUAACUGCUGACAGUCAUACUACAAAAGAUCCUCACAGGAUAACUACUAACUACCCACUACACUCCAGGCUCGUCGUCCGAGUCAGCGUCAAAGAUCGCCUCUCCAUCCUCGUCGCUAACCGGCUCAAGCUCCUCGUCCUCUACGUCCUCGUGCAAAGGUGGUGUAGCCACGGCCGGUCCAUCUACCUCCAUACCAUCAUCAUCGGCCACGAUCACCUGAGGUCCCACCUCUGGAUACACUGGUGCAGGGCACGGAAUAGGGUGUAGCAAGUUGUUGAGACGGUGAAUCUCCACAAGACCAGCCUCAAUCUGAUCCUGCAGAUAGUUAUCCCGCUCAAGCGACUGGAUCCGGUGCAUCUCCCAAGCCCGACGCUUGUUCUCCGUCAUGUGAAGCGCAGUAUCCCUCUCACGAGUGAUCUGCACCAAGCGCUCCUGCACUGUCUCCCUCUCCCUAGCCAACUGACUCAUCUGAUCCUGCUUAUGAUCUCUCUCUCAUUGCCUUCACCCAUUGCUGCCUCCGGUACUCCGCAAUGUCUUCCUAGUCAUUGCAGUCCUUCUGGGCUUGCUCUAGGAGUCUAGCUUGCAUGCGAAAGUUGCGAGCAUGCUUUUCAGCCUUCUGUUGCAUCCCCUGGGCUUGGUGAACAGCCACCAUCACCUGGGCAUAGGUGUCCUCUCGCUGACUGAACAGCUUGAGUACAGCCAUCAUAGCACUCAUAGCAGGACUGGAACUCUCAGCUCGCUCUCCUCGGCCUCGGACCAACGCACACCCAUCAGCCGGCUUCCACUCCGCUGCUGCUGGGUCAGCCUGUGGAAUGGAGGCUGCUGGCCCUCCUGUCAGCUGAUCGCCAAACCUCUGACAUAUGUGGAGCAGCAUAGCAUGGGCUGCAACCUGAGCUGCUUCCCAUGGGGUCUGCCCAUCUGAGUUGCAGGUCGACCCAGUCCAUGCAGGCCUGCCCCCAUGUGGUGGGACAACCCCCUGCACAACGAACCACUGCAAACCUCCUGUCAUGUCCACCUCCCACCAGGAAUACUAAGGUGGCUCAUUAUACCCUACAGACUGUAGCACCCUCCAGAGCAGUGUAGGAGUGCCAAACUCGCUCAAAAAGGUGUCACUGGGGCGAGGUGAAAUGGGCACAUCCAUCUGUGGAAAGGAAUAGGAAUAACCAUGGGUAAGAGAGGAUUAAUUUAAGCAACAUUUAUUUAAUUAAAAGGAACGAUAUUGUAAGGAAAGGAGUAGGCAGAAUGUAUGUAUGAAUGCGAUAUGAUGCAUGCACGAACCGUACGUCCUCACAAACUUAGAAAAUUAAUAUUCUAACGGAUAUACGGUGGCAUACAUUCGUCUCUCGAUACGAUAACUAUCGAUUUACACAUGCGCUGUUAGAGUACCUACAGAAAACUUCAUCGCAGCCCAACAAUUCCCAAUAUUUCACUCAAGAAAGCAGUAAACUAAGUGCACAUUGCUUAUACAUGCCCAACAUGCAUAAACAAUGACACCAUAGCUACCCAAGAAAAAUAAAUGCUCCCCAAUUAAGUUUCUAUCGUGGUUCCAUGGUUUGACAUGUAACCACUCCAGAAAACCACCGCGAACACUCCCCUAGACCGCUGUUUGGACGAUCAUGCUCUCACAGCUCACACUUACCAGAGCGUAGGUACGACGUUGCAUAAUUUAAAUCUAGCGACAUAUGCGGCUAAUUCACAUAUGAAGGCUACCUCUACCAUUAGACCACAGGGUGGCAUAGUGCGGUCAUCACACAUCCAAACCUGAGUACUGCCGGAGAUGCAUAAACAAAACCCCCCAAGUCAGUACUUAUAUAGCCACCUAGAGUCCUUAUAUGGGCAAGGAGGAUUCGACCACUAGCAUAAUAAAGUAUUGGUUUUCGCAAUUUAUUUAAAAACUCUUUUGUUUUUAAAUACACAAACGCUACAUUUAUAAUGCUGAACUUGCUCCGAUGCCAGCUGUCACAGAACCGACCAAAUUAUAAGAGUUCAAGUGCAGAAACGAUCAACUAGCAAUCAUGUUUCUAUACUUGAGCCCAUAUAAUCCAGGCAGUCAACCAAAAUCACGAAUAACUUCAAACCAACUUGCAACUAACCAAGAUCGUAAUAGUUCAACAUAACACAGCGAAUGUUACAUAGUCAUUCAUUGCCGUCGAUGCGGCACCACAUCGGAGUUAAUUACUUAUUACAACCCAAGUUUGCAGUAGCGGAAGCAAAAUAUUUUACAACACACAUUCUAAAGUUCUUGUUAUUGCCAGAGUCUCAUGCCAUCCAUCCAAAAGCAACAGGUACGAAGUUGUUAGAGAACCGUGCCCAACGGUUUAGUCCUCAUCCCCAGUGGGAUGGAGACAGGUCUUGCAGAAGCCAUCAUAAAAGAUAUCAUCUGCAACAGGUGGGAAUAAACCCUGAGUAUAAAGAUGUACUCAGCUAGACUUACCCGUCUAGUAAACUAUAAAAGACACCAAGGAUCAUGCAAGGCUAUUAUAAAGUGUAGCUGGCUUGACUUAACAUUUGCCAAAAGCUCAAGUGAUUACUAUCCCAUUUGUAAAGGCAUCAUAUUAAUCUUUAUUAACCUAGCACUAGAUUAGCACCUGUACUAAAGCACUUCACUUUGAUUAAUACAAACAAUAAUAACCAUAUCAAGUUCAUCACAACUCCUAUACAUAAUGCAUCAAUAGAUAUAACAUAUUUAAGUAAACUUUCAAAAUUAAAGUGGGAGACUUAAGAUGCUCCGGGGCUUACCUUUCACGAACGAGGCUGGCUCGUGAUUAGGGCACUCAAUCUCCUCUUCGGGCUCCUCGUGUCCGGCUGGCUGGACCUCCGCCUCCGGAUUGAUCUCCUGGCCUUCGGGAUUCACCAGGUUGGGCUCGAACGAGGUCGUCGCUUCCGAUGCACCUAUUGCAUGCACGAUGAAUAAGAAUGUGUGCAUCCUAGAUGAGGAUGAACGCUUGAUAACAUAAUUAGAACUUCACUGGACACUCAUUUACAGAGUAACUCUCAUUACUAGUUCACACAAGAUGAUUAACUACUGAGCAAGAUUACCAAGUUAAACUACAAACAGCAAGCAUCCCAUAACAGAACAGCUCAGUAAACAGAUCUUAACUAUUGCUAUAUAAAUCCAACAAACAUGAAUGAGGACAUUCUGGAAAGAUUAUGAAAUUGUCUAUAUUUCAUCGUUAGAGAUCACAGCAGGAUUCCCAAGUUAAACAGGUCAACUAAACAAAGUUCCAGGUUCUGUCCCAGAAAAACAGAGAACACCUAUUACUGGAACCCAACUUGGAAGAGCCAUAACUUUUAGACUAUUGGACCAAAUGAUCCCAAAUUUAAACCACAGCUAGUUCAUAAAGUUUACAACAACUUUGAUUUAGACAAGUCUUCCAGAAAACUAAGUUGUCAUUAAGCAAUGGUUAGAUUACUCCCUUGCUGUCCAGAACAGCUUUUAACCCUCUAAUUAAUUAUUUGAUGACAUAGCCAAAACAUAUUUAGUGCCAACCAAAUGGCUUACAAGCACAAGUAUACCCUAAGGUUGCCAGAGCAUCACAUGCUAACCACUAAACACCCAAUAACAUGGCAUUUAUUAAUUUAAUUCCAUAAACGGACAUAAUUACAAGCUACCAGCAAAAUUACUCAGAAAAAUCUACAAAAAUUACAGAAACACAAGCAUGGCAUCUACACAUUACCAUAAAAAUUUCAGACCAAUUGCGCAUGCCAAACUUAAGAUAAGUAUUUAACAUGUAUCAAGGUGCUUAUUUCAUAAAUUAAGAAACAUGGGUAGUGUCAAACAACAGAUUUCAGAUUAUUUACAUGUUACUAUUACCAUAAAAAAGCUUGACACCAAAAUAGAAUACCAGCAUAAGCAUAAAUCAUUUAUUAUGAUUUAAUUAAGAAAACAAGCCAUAUAACCAACAUAAAUUACAUAUCACAGAUACAUUACUCCAAAAAUCAUGAAAUAUUUAACAUAGCAUUCUAAUACCACUCAGAGCAUAGCAUAAAAAUUUCAUAGCAAAAGAAGCAGUAUAUCAACAGAUAUGAAUUUACACAUAAAUAACAAGAUUAAAUCAUAACAAUUAUUUUUCCCAAAAAACAUGGUACAUUUUAUAUUUUUAUUAAAAACUAGCCAUCUCAAGGAAGAUCACAAAAUUUAUCUCACAAAUUUUGGAUCACAGGAACUAGACAUAUGAUUUUUGCAAAAACAGCACAAACCCUAAAUCAAACCAAGGAGAAAGAGAGACUGACAGGGGGACCCCGUGUCAGUGACCCGAGAGCAGAGGCGCGACUUGACCGCCGGAGAUCUCGUCGAUGGCGAGGUCUCGGCGACGGUCAAGAGCACCAUCGUGCUCCUCACUCCAUUCCGCACCGAUUGGUACAAGAAACCCUAACUCUACCGCACCCUAGGUACCUCGCCCUCGCGAAUGGCGGCACCACGGUGGUGUGCGGCCGACCGCCGGCAUCUCUGGUCGGAGACCGGGUGAAAGAGGACUCGAACAAGCAUCAGCACGACUCAGCGGAGCUUUUGGGACAAGAACGAGGAGAAAUGGUGGACUACAGAGCCCUGGCCAUGACACCGGUGACCACGGUGGAGCUGCGGCGAGGUAAGCUCGCGACAGAGAAGAUAAUGUGGGCUCACUGAGGCUUGGUAGCCAUAGCCAACUCGACAAAGGGGAAGCGGGGAAGCUGGCGGAGCUCUGGGCGGAGUCGCUCAGCCGGAGGUGCUGAGACGUGAGCGCGCGAGCUCGUCGAAGCAGCGGCGGCGACGCGGAGAAGACGACGAGCGCGAGAGAGGGCGGACCGGAGUGGAAAUGGUGCUGUCCAUGCGACCGGGGGCGUCGUGGCGAGCUGUAGGACACGCUGAGGACUGGCGAGCAGGACCAACGGCGAUGUACGGACACCACGAGUCCAGACACGCGGCGUCACCGUCGAGCUCCCCUCUGCUGACGCCGUCUCGAUUUAGUUUCAGAGCCGACUGAAACUCGAUUUUGGACUUCGAUGAUCUCCUAAACCAUUCGAUGAUUUUGCUGGCUAAUUGCUCCAUGUUGUAGAGUUACAUGAGAACUCCAGCAUUGCUUACAAGAUGAAAAUUUGAUUCGGCCUAGAUUUCAAACUGGGAGCUAAACAAAACACCCUCGAGCAAACUGUUGCAAUCCCAGACUUAGAAAAUUUUCUAAGUGUUGGAAACAGCCCAAAAUCUGCCUUGUGGGACAUUUUUGAGCUAGAUGUUGUCAUUUUCAUGAGAUGGACAUAAAACAACUUUUGUUCCUUAUAAAAUUUGCUAUAGCUUUGCUGUAGAAAGUUUGGACAUGCAAACAAUUUAUGAAACACUUUUUAAAAGCUUAAGCAAAAGAGGUUUCUAGGGCCUAUACAUGGAAGUAUGACUUAAGUACUUAAUUUGGAGAAGUGAUCAACAUGAACAUUGUUCCAAAGGUUGAGUUAAGCAUAGAGAAACUAUUUACUAAGGCAUAGCACACAAGCAUGAGCAUGGUAUAAGUAAACACAAGCAUAGGAAGUAUAUUUAAGCAAGUUAAAUCACAUUUUUGCAUAAAAUGACAUGACUCAAGGUAGAUGAUGAUCAUGAUAUGCUUGAGUAGAUGAUGAUGCUCAUGUUAUGCAUGUGAUUGAUGCAACCAUAACACUGGGGUGUUACAAUGCCGAUGGAGAUCGGGAUGAUGGGGCGUCCUGGAUCGCCUCUCUUGACUAGUAGAAGGUCAUUAUGUACUUCCACAACAGGGUUACUCCAGUAGUUACCUGCAUCAAACAUGUCUACAAGAUUUGCAGAUUCUAAUCCUUCUGGUUGUGAUGGUAUACCGGGGUUAGUAGCAGGAACAGCAUCAGCUAUUUUAUUCAACUGAGAUUCAAUCAUUUUAUUAAAGCUAAAUUGGUUCUUGAUGGCAGUAGAAAAUUAUCCAUUCUAUUAUUUAUAUUUUCUAGCAUUUUAUCAUUUGAUGCCAAUUUCUUAGUUAGGUUAUCCAUUAGCUUUCCUUGAUUAGACACUAACUCUCUCAAAGGUGGAUAAUUAUUAUUAUUAUUAUAAGAAUUGUUACCUUGAUAAUUACCUGAGUAGUUACCUCAGUAGUUAGGUCUCUGUCGAUUUCAACCUUGAUUUUGUUGAGGAUGGUUGUAGUAGUAGUUGUUGUUGUUGUUGAUGUAGUUCACGUCCUCACGCAUGUUGACGGUCCUUAAGUAUCAAAUUUAAUUAUAAAUUAAACAAAGAAAAGGAUCCAAAUAAAAUCAACAGCUAGACUUAGGGUUUUAUCUAACAGAAUUCCACGGGUUUUGGUGCUUGUCUAUUUCUAUAGGGGGUUAUUAGGAAAUACGGAAGAAAGGCCCACACAUCGGGACAACAUAGAGAUAUUAACGUGCCGCGCAGUUAUCUUACAUCUAGAAGACUCCAGAAGCCACGGGAAGGAAGUGGAGGCCGAACGGGGCCAGGCACUGGGCGCCCACCCAGUUGACCUGGGCGCCCACUCCCUCCUAGACUCCAAUCAGGACUCUCUUUCGGGAAAGAUCUCCACCGACCUAAAGGAUCAAGGAUAACCGUUCAAUCAAUGUCGGUUUGAUCCAACGGCCCAUAUUCACUUGAAGGGACUAUAAAACCAUACCCCCUGCCCCUGUAGGAGAGAGCCUUUCAACCCUAAUUCAUUAUUCCUCAAGGGAGAAGAAGCCUCUGAUCAAGCCUAGAGCCACCACAUCAAUUAGACAUCUAUAUUAGCAUAGCUACAUAGGAUUAGAACUAGAAGGAGUCAAUCUUCGAUUGGUUUCCGGAUCUGUCAAUAGGAUUCUUGGUAAUUCUCUAAUUGUUCUUCUAAUUGUUCAUCUUUGUUCUUCAAUAUUAUGAAUAUGACUUUGUUCUACUUCAAUAUAUUGCUUAUGACUUUGCUCUACUUGUUUAUAUUCAAGAUUAUAUUGUUCUUAGUUUAUCAUAGUUAUGUACUUGGCUUAGUUAGAUUGGAUUUAUAUACAUGUUUAGGAUCAUAUAGCGUUUAUCCAUCGGAUCUAUGGGUAAAUGAUAGAUAUUAUGUAGGCGUGGUGCUUAUACCAUAUUUAUCUACGAUUGUACCCAAUAUGCCAGAUCGUGGGGUAGUUCGUGAUAGUGUCAGCUUCAUUGAGUCUUAUAUAGUCCCCCUUUCGUGUAUUGGGCUGGCAGAGCAACAUUAUUAGAUGGGAGUGAUUGCUAUGUUUCUCAUAUUCCUUGCUAAUAUCACUAUGCAUGGGCGUAGUCUUGUCUCACAGUGAUUGCUAAGUAUGCUUGCACUAACUAUGAUAACGCUAGACUAUAUAGUUGAGAAUAACUUAGGAAAUAUUCUUGUAGUUCGUUCUAAUGCCAUGCUAAUGACUUGCUAGAAUAUCUAAUUGAGGUGCUUAUCAUAUUUAUUCUGUGGCUAAGUUAUGCUGAUCAGAUUAAUUAUCUUUGUCACUAUUCAUUACUUCAUAUAUCUUUUAUGUGACACUUACCCUUGUAUGGAAGAGUUAGAUAACUGUUCUCAAUUAUACAUGCAAUGAUAGAUACUCAAUCUCAUAUUCCAUUCUAUAAUCAAUAUUGAUGAUUGCUAAUCCCUUCCCAGUGGUAAAAAUAUAAAUAACGAUACCUGGAAUACUUCCCGGUUAAAAUGCUACAUCGGUAUUAAUCUGUGCGCUUGCAGAUCCCAUUCAUUAUUUAUUUAGAAAAGCAAUUGCAUAUUUCAAUACCGCAUCUCUCAUGUCAUGCUGGGGAUGACAACUUGGCUUAAGGUUUGGCAUUUUUGGCACCGUUAUCAGAAUUAGAAAACUAAGUCUACUUUUGGUAGUGAUGUUAAGAAUACCCAACAAGCAUUUUUGGCGCCGUUGCCGGGGAAGGUUGAUUACUAAUCAGGAAUGAAUAUAGAAUUUUGAGUCAUUAUUCGCAUCACUAAUAUGAUUGAGCUUAUCAAUUCUCUCAAACAGUUUUACCCCGAUAUUUUUCUAUUUUAUCUUAUGCAGGGUAAUGUAUUUAUAGAAGACAUCUUCUAGGAAAUUUUGUUGACAAUCCCGAAGCGUUAUUCAGAAAAACAAGAGCCAAGCUCAAGAAGAGAUCAUCAACACUACAGCAAGAAGCUUCAUCCAAUCAAGAAGAUCACCGGAACUUGUCUUCAGAGUUCGAAGCCAUGGCAAACAAAUCAAUCCGUGAGUUCUCAGCUCCCACUACGCACAACAUCCGCACUGGACCUACUGCAGAGAUCAAUGGCAACUUUGAGCUCAAGCCUGGACUUAUCAACAUGGUGCAAUCCAACCAGUUCCAUGGGAAGGCACAUGAAGAUGCUAGUGCUCAUCUCCAACACUUUCUGGAGAUAUGCAACACAUUCACCAUAUCAGGAGUCCCCAGAGAUGCUAUACUACUUCACCUCUUCCCUUUCUCACUAUUAGGAAGAGCGAAGCAGUGGUUCUACACUACAAAGGAGAAGAAUACUACGUGGGCACUCUACUCAACAAACUUCCUGGCUAAAUUCUUUCCAAUGGGCAAGACCAAUGCUCUCCGUAGGAAGAUUACAAGUUUUUAGCAACAACAUGACGAAUCUGUUCCAGAAGCAUGGGAGCGCUUCCAAGACUACAUCCUAGAAUGUCCCCAUCAUGGAAUGGAGAGUUGGCUACUGAUGCAGACGUUUUAUCAUGGGCUCGGAAACAGUGCCCGUGAAACCAUGGAUGCUGCAGCUGAAGGAGCUUUCCUAUCACUUACCAUAUCACAAGCCACAGCUCUUGUGGAGAAGAUGGCGUCCAACCAAGUCUGGAAUGAAGAAAGGACCCAGACAUGCAAGAGAGGUGGAGGUAUGCAUCAGCUCAAGGAGGUAGUCAUGCUGUCUGCUAAGCUAGACCUGCUCAUGAAGAAGCUCGAAGAUAGAGUUGGAGAUAAGAAAGAAGUUAUGCACAUCUACGACUCUCACAUGACUUGUGAGGAGUGUGGAGAUACUGGACACUCAGGCAAUCACUACCCUGAGAUGCUUGAGGAUGUGAACUACAUCAACAACAACUACUACUACUACUACAACCGUCCUCAACAAAAUCAAGGUUGGAAUCAACAGAGGCCUAACUACUCAGGUAAUUAUCAAGGUAACAAUUCUUACAAUAAUAAUAAUAAUUUUCCACCUCUGAGAGAGUUAGUGUCUAAUCAAGGAAAGCUAAUGGAUAACCUAUCUAAGAAAUUGGCAUCAAAUGAUAAAAUGUUAGAAAAUAUAAAUAAUAGAAUGGAUAAUUGCUCUACUACCAUCAAGAAUCAAAUUAGCUUUAAUAAGAUGAUUGAAUCUCAGUUAAAUCAAAUAGUUGCUGCUGUUCCUGCUACUAACCCCGGUAUACCAUCACAACCGGAAGGAUUAGAAUAUGCAAAUCUUGUAGACAUGUUUGAUGCAGGUAAUUGGAGUAACCCCGUCACUGAAGUAACUACUGACCUUUUGUCGGUCAAGAGAGGCGAUGCAGUCAAGAGAGGCGAUGCAGGACGCCUUGUCAUCCCGAUCUCCAUCGGCAUGGUGGACGUCCUAGAAGCACUCUAUGACUUUUGCUCCAGCGUCAACAUUAUACCCAGGGUACUCUAUGAAAAAUUCUUUACAUAUCCUUUAUUAGAAACAACCAUGUAUUUGCAGUUUGCAGAUCAGGCAUUAAGUUUUCCAAAAGGAAUAUUGAAGAACCGUUGUGUCCAAGUUGGUACCUUGUAUGACCUAGCAGACUUCGUGGUGAUAGAGACCGGUAAUGAUGAGAGCACCCAUCAUCUUAGGGAGGCCAUUCUUAAACACCUCGGGAGCUGUCAUCUACGCUAGUGCUGCCAAGAUCAGUUUCUACAUCAAAGGGAGGAAGGAGACAUUUUCCUUCAAGAACAAGACUACACAAAUUCCAGAUCAAUCCAGACGUAAAUCAAGGAAGAGGACCAACAGGAGGAACAGGAACAAGCAAGUGUGGACCGAUUCAGCUAAGAUGGUCACUGCAGUUCAUAGAGGCCAAGAUCAACAACUUAAGUCACCAUUUUUGACCAAGAAGGAGGACCCAGGAAUGCCAAGCAUCUAUUGCUCCAUAAAUGGUUACAACUUCUACAAGACGACUUGCGACACCGGAUCAGGCGUCAACAUAAUGGCCGCAGUCACCUAUCGGCUCUUGUUUGGAACCAUGCCCCUAAGACCAACAUACAUUCAGCUUCAGAUGGCAGAUGAGACAUUUCGAGAAGUUAAAGGAACAGUAACUGAUGUCCCUGUCAAAAUAGACAAUCAUUUUGUCUACACAGACUUUCAGGUUAUUGACAUGGGAGGAGACGAGUACGAUCCACCCAUCAUCCUUGGAAGACCGUUCCUCAGCACCGUUAAAGCAAUCAUCUACAUUGGAACUGUAGAAGUCCAUAUGCACUUCCCCUCAGAGAAGGUACGCCGCUAUUUUACUGAACCUUACUAUAUCGUUGAAGAAUCUAAGCAGGUCAGAAAACGACGCAACCGCAACCAGAGGAGGGAAAUCAUCAAGGACGGAUGGGCAGACUAUGAAGGAGAAGUAGUAAGGUCAGAAGACGUAUAGUUUAAACAGAAUUAUCCAGAGAAGACCGUAGCACCGAGUCAGGUGUGGAAAGAAAAGAUAACUAUACAUGAAGAAGAGGCGCCACUGGAAGUACCGACUACGCCACCCAACGAAUCCCAGGACAAUUGAGAAAGAGGAGAGUCCCGUUCGGAGGACUUAAAAACACCGAACGCCUUGCCAAGAUGUAAACUUGGUAGUUAUCAUUUCCCUUUCAAUUAUUUCAAAUAGUCUACUUAGUUAAUUAAGUUCAUACUAUCCUAAAAAGAAAAUAAAAAUGUUAAAAAAUGGUAAGCCCCAUGUGAGUAUACGAGUGGCAUAAAACCCAUAAGUACAUUCACUGUGGUGGCAUAAAAAUAAAAUAAAUAUUUUUCUGCUCUAUAAAAAUGAAAAUGAAAAAUAGGGAGUAAUAUUUAUUGAGGAGACUCAACAUGAUAAAGGCUAGAUAUUUAUGCUAACACUUAAUUAGUUCCACAAAGCUUUGUUGUCUAUUUGAGCUCUACAGAAUUCAAGAAUCGAGAAGACUAGCAGACGGAGGACAUUCUAAUCGCUGUCAAAAUGCUGCUAACUUUCAAAUAAACCUCUGCCACCUGCUAGCUACAUCAAGAGAAAUUACGUCAAAAUUCAGCUUGGGGGAGAGCACCCCCAUUUAUCUCGCUAAGUAUUUCUAUCUAUCUUUAUACUUAUAUUAUAUUAAAAUAUAAAUAGACAUAACUAUGAAAAACCAAAUAAAGAUUUUGUGCUUAUAUAUAUAUAUCUUUUACUUAGUAUGCUUAAUAAAUAAAUAAAGUGGCUAUGCUAAUCUGAAUCUUAAUAAUAAACUCUAGCAUGGAUAUGAUAAAUAGUUGCUCUGCCAAAUUUUUAAAUUUGAAUUCUCUCUCAAGUUUAGACAUAACUGUUAUAAUUUGAAGCUUGCUCAAGACCUAAACUUGUGGGAACAAAACUUGAUCUGAAGUCUAAGUUGUUAACGGAUAUGAUAUGAGAAGGUUGGGCUGCUAUUUAUCUAUUCCUAGAGAUGCUAGAAUUCUAGAGAAUUUUAUCUUUGAAAAAUCUUUAAAAUAUUGCAUGAUGAGUUCCUGUAUGAUGAGAGUUUAAAUUCCUACCACAGCCAUAUAUACCUGUUUGCUAGAUUUUGAGCCACACAUUUACUUUUUACUGCUUAUGAGCAUUGAGUGUGGUCAAGCUGUGUAGACCCUUAGGAGCUUGUCAUGUGGUUAAAAUCAAGAUUCACUUGCACGUUCACUCACAUAUGCUACUUCUACUUGUUGGAUAUUUUAAACGCAAACAGAAAAAUCCGCAACCGCACGGAUACCGAUGUAGCCUUCACCCGGGAGUAUUCCAGAGUAUCGAUUUUCCACAGGGAACGUGAGUGUACUAAUUAAGAUUCAAGAUCGCCCAAGGAUAACUAUAUAAGUAUUUUUGGUGGGAAGAGAGGAAGUUUCCUGAGAGUUCUCUAGUUGAUCUAAGAAUCAAGAAUUACUUCAAGAUUAUCUAUAUCGGGACAUCAGAGCACUAACCACAGAAAGAGAUGAGAAGGGGGCUAGGAAGGUCUGACUACGGUCCUACAAACACCGAUCCGAACGUGGUGCAAUACGUCGACCGUUAGGGCUGUCACUACCCUAAGGCUACCACAACAAUCCGCAGGAUUGGGUGCAAUUCCAGGUAAUCGCAAGACUAAACACCACGUCUAAUCUAUUAAUUACUACUCUAAUGUUUCAAAGACUAGAGCACUUGAUGCAAGUGGGAAUCCAAUAAAUAACUUGAAUGUAAAUAAAAGUAAUUAGAGAACUCAGGAGUUAUGAAUUGAAGAACCUGGAGAACGAUGAAGAACGAACCAGAUGCUGCAAAAGUACAAUGUUGAGGAAGAUCCGACAGAUCCGGCUCCUCCUCCGCUCUCCUCUUCUCUCUCCCUAUUUUCUAGAUUACAUGUAGAACUAACUAGAACUAGAACUAGAGGAACUAGAACUAGAACUAGAUGAACUAGAACUAGAUCUAGAUGAACUAGAGGUAGAACUAGAAGAACUAGAGGGAUCCUCUCUACUUGGAUGAAGAAUUGAAACCCUAGCUUUGAUUCUGUAGAAGAGGUAUGAUCUCCAGGGGCCAGGGGGGGUCUAGUUUUAUAGUCCCUUCAAGUGAAUCUGGGCCGUUGGAUCAAACCGACAUUGAUCGUGUGGUUUUCCUUGAUCCUUUAGGUCGGUGGAGCAAUAUCCCGAAAGAGAGUCCUGAUUGGACUCUGGCUGAGGGCGGGCGCCUAGGAAAGGUGGGCGAGCGCCCUGUCCCUGAGUCCUCUCGGCCUCCGCUUCCUUCCCGUGGCUUCUGGAGUCUUCUAGAUGGUAGAAAAUUGCGCAGCACGUUUAUAUCUCUAUGUAAACCCGACGUGUGGGCCUUUCUUUCAUAUUUCCUGAGAACCCCCUGCAGAAAUAGACAAACACCAAAAUUUGUGGAAUUCUGUCAGAUAAAACCCUAAGACUAGGUGUUGGUUGCAUUUGGAUCCUUUUCUAUGAUUAGUUGAUGGUUAAUUGUGAGCAUUAAGGACCGUCAACAAGCUCCCCCAAGCUUAACCUUUGCUCGUCCCUGAGCAAAGAUGAACUCAAGAGUUUCUGCAGUGGUUUCAUAACUUAAAGAUACACAUGCGUUUAAACAAGAUCUCAUCUCUGGUUAGAGUAAACUGUUAAGACUUAAAACUUACUCAUUUACCUUUCACCAUGGGACUUGCAACCGUCACUUGUGUCUUGAGUAGUUAAAAGAUAGAACAGUCUAGUCAAGCACCAUGUCUCUUGUUCUUCGAUUAACUAUAGCUCUGGAGUUUUUGCAGAUUUUCAAAUAAAACUCAGAGAUUCCUUGUAUGACUCUCUCUAGUCUCUCUUUUGUGGUAUUUCUGAAACCUUACCAAGGCAGUAAUGGUAUAUGCCUCCUCUCAAAGUAUGUGGUAUUUUUGGUAUGAGGCAUAGUGGUAUUGCCUUCUCUCUCACCCUACUCUAAUAAGGUUUUGAUAUCUGGAGCUCAUAGGUGGGAGACAGCUAAUACAUACUUACAAGACAUUUAUUGCAUAGUCAAACCAUGGAUCCAGAAGAACAAGUCAAUAAGUCAAAUCAAGAUGUGCAUGUGUGGCGAAUGAAUGGUGAUAAUGGUGAAAGUAAUGGUGAUAACAAUGGUGAAAGUCUAAUUCUACUUGUGCUCUUUUGAGGGGAUACAUACCUUUCUUGCUCUUUUCAAACUUUUUGAGGAGAAUGAGAUACUCUAUAUUUUUUUCUCUCAGGUGGGUAUCUUGUACCCCUAAUUCUACUGUCGGACACUUGUCCAUUUUUACCUCUCGUCUCACUUUUUCUUUUCUUUCGAGGUUCCGGGCACUUGCCCCUUUUUAUUUCCUCGUAUCUUUUUUUUCUUUUCUUUUCUUUUUUUUUCUUUUUUUAGAGCACUCAUCUCAUGAGAUAAUAUAGCAAGUGGUAGUAACAAGAUAACUUGAGCAUUUAUUUCACAAGGGAAAACAUAAAUGGUUUUGGCUAUUCUCUCCCUGAUUAGGAGUAGAAUAUUUUUGGGUGGUUCUGGAGAUGGAAAUGGAUGGAUAUAUGUGGAUGCGUACUUCUGGAGUAGAAGCAGCAUGUAUGAGUGAACGUGCAAGUGAAUCUUGAUUUUAACCACAUGACAAGCUCCUAAGGGUCUACACAGCUUGACCACACUCAAUGCUCAUAAGUAGUAAAAACUAAAUGUGUGGCUCAAAGUCUAGCAAGCAUGUAUAUAUGGCUCUGGUAGGAAUUUAAACUCUCAUCAUACAGGAACUCAUCAUGCAACAUUUUAAAGAUUUUCAAAGCUAAAUUCCCCAGAAUUCUAGUAUCUCUAGGAACAGAUAAACAGCAGCUCAACCUUCCCAUAUCAUAUCCGUUAACGACUUAGACUUUAGAUCAAGUACUCUUCCCACAAGUUCAGGUUUAGAGCAAAUCUUAAUUAAUAACAUUCAUGCCUAAACUUGAGAGAGAUUUCAAUUUUGAGAACUAGUCAUGGCAGAGCAACUAUUCAUCUUUCCAUGUGAGAGCUUAUCAUGAGGGUUCAUAGCAAAUUUUAUUUAUUUAUUUAUUUAGCAAACUAAGCAAAGAUAUAUAUAUAAGCACAAAAUCUUUAUUUGGGUUUUUAUGAUUGUGCAUCUUUUUUAUUAUUUAAGUAAAGUAUAAACAUGAGUAGAGCACUUAGCUGGAUAAAUGGGGUUGCUCUCCCCCAAGCUGGGUUUCGACGUAAUUCCUUCUGAUGUAGCUAGCAGGUGGCGGAGGUGUAUUUGAAUGUGGCAGCACCCUGACAGCGAUUAGGAUGUCCUCCGUCUGCUAGUCUUCUUUGAUCCCUGAACUCUGUGGAGCUCAAAUAGACAACAAAGCUUUGUGGAACUAGUUAAGUGUUAGCAUAAAUAUCUAGCCUUUAUCAUGUUGAGCCUCCUCAAUAAAUAUUACACUCAUUAGUAGGAUCAUAAAUUUAUUUUUAUAAUUUUAUUUUUAUAGGACAAGAAUAUAUUUAUUUCAUUUUUACGCCACCACAGUGAAUGUACGUAUGGGUUUUAUGCCAUGAGCAUACUCACAUGGGGCUUACUAUUUUUAACAUUUUUAUUUUCUUUUCAAGAUGAUAUGAACCUGAUUAACUAAGCAAACUAUUUUAAAUAAUUGAAAGGAAAAAGAUAACUACCAAGUUUACCUCUUGGCAAGGCGUUCGGUGUCUUUAAGUCCUCCGAACAGGAUUCUCCGUUUUCUCAAUCAUCCUGGAAUUCGCUCGAUGGCGUAGUCAGUGGUUCCGGCGGCGCGUACUCUUCAUGUAUAACUAUCUUCUUUCUCCACACCUGCCUUGGUGCACUUCUCCUUCAUACUCUGCUCAUCCGUCCUUUAUGAUUUUCCUCCUCUGGUUACGGUUGCGUCGUCUUCUUCUUGUCCUGACCUGCUUAGAGUCUUCAACUAUAUAGUUAGGGUCAGUAAAAUAGCGGCGUACCUUCUCAGAGGGGAAGUGCAUGUGGACUUCUCCGGUUCCAAUGUAGAUGAUUAUUUUAACGGUGCUGAGGAACUGUAUUCUGAGUGGAUCGAAUUCGUCUUCUCCCAUGACAAUAACCUUUCGGAAUGUCUGAUCUGCCAUCUGAAGGUUGACGUCAUAUCCGGUGUCGUAGAGUGUCUUCUGAAAAGAAUAUCGGUUGAUUGUGCACUCGAUGCUUGGAACACCAGGGUCAUCCUUCUUGGUCAGGAACGGUGACUUGAGUUGACGAUCUUGACCUCGUUGAGCUGCAGUGACCAUCUUAGCUGACUUGGUCCACAUUUGCUUGUUCCUGUUCCUCCUGUUGGUCCUCUUCCUUGUUUCAUGUCAGGAUUGCUCUGAGAUUUGUGUAGUCUUGUUCUUGAAGGAAAACGUCUCCUUCCUCCCCUUGAUGUAGAAACUGAUCUUGGCAGCACUAACAUAGAUG
rnacentral:lncRNA from 1 species